CAGAUCCCACUCUCCUGCAACUGAUGUAGACACCAUUAGCAAAUUCAGACUCCGCUCUCCUCCACCUAAAGUACCUCGCUCUUCUCCACCUAAAGCAGACACCAUUAACAAAUUCAGACCCCGCUCUCAUCCACCUAAAGCACCUCGCUCUCCUUCACCUAAAGUAGACACCACUAACAAAUUCAGACCCCGCUCUCAUCCACCUAAAGCACCUCGUUCUCCUCCACCUAAAACAGAUACCAUUAACAAAUUCAGACCCCGCUCUCAUCCACCUAAAGCACCUCGCUCUCCUCCACCUAAAGCUAACACCAUUAACAAAUUCAGACCCCGGUCUCGUCCACCUAAAGUACCCCGCUCUACUCCACCUAAAUCAAACACCAUUAACAAAUUCAGACCCCGCUCUCAUCCACCUAUAGCACCUCACUCUCCUCCACCUAAAACAGACACCAUUAAUAAAUUCAGACCCCGCUCUCAUCCACCUAAAGCACCUCACUCUCCUCCACCUAAAGUGGACACCAUUAAUAAAUUCAGACCCCGCUCUCGUCCACCUAAAGCACCUCGCUCUCCUCCACCUAAAGCAGACACCAUUAACAAGAACCCUCAUCAUUCUUCUCCCCCACCUCACUACAACUAAAAAUGGUAUUUCACGAUCUCCACACACAUAUUUUGCCAUAUAUAUUAUAAUCAUCCACUAUUAUUUUUAAUGAAUCAACAUGUAUUCAUCUACAAUAUAUAAUCUUGCAAUUAAAUUGUCAAUGCUAAAAAUAUUUUGGAUUGUCAUCUACUUAUUAUACUAACUAUAUAUCAAGCUUAAACUCUUAUCUCAAUUUGAGAAAAAUAAUCCAUGUUAUGAAACACUCUUUCGGUAUUAAAUACUUUAACUAGUCUAAAUUUCAUAUAAAAUCUUUGUAAUAUUAUAUUUUAUCAAGGAUUAAUCAUGGAGUGAUAUACUAAUACACACAUCCUUAAUUAUGCAGGGUCUAAGGAAAACGCGUGAAGUAAAUGCUAUUACCAAUUAGUGUUUUAUGCAAAGUUCAUAACUUGAUUAUUGUUUAUAAGAAUAAAACGUGUGUUUUCAUUUAUUUAUAUUGUGCUUUAGUUGUAUUAUAGUGUUGUAAAGGGCACGAGCACACUGCCCUGUCAUAUGUAUGCAGUUGUUUACAUGCAUUGUACUUUUCAAUGUGUGGUACACAAUGCAAUUUUAAAGUAAUAAUAAAUAUAUAAUGUUUUAUACUUGGAACAAAAUAAAUCUCUACUUAUUUUUUGAUGUUGAGUGAGCAUUUAUUUGUCAGUAUUUAACUAAUUGAAGGGUAAACAUUGUUUUAAUCCAUAAAUAAACAUCAAAUGUCAUUUUCAAUUGAUAUAAUAGUAAUAUUAGUGUAUUAAAUUUGUUAUUAUCGGUUGUGGGUACAUAGAGUUUCCCAAAAUUGAAGAGAAAUGACAGGAAAAUGUAGUCAAUAUGCUCAUAAUAUUGAUCGUGAUAAUAUUGUAGAAAUUCCAAAAUCAUGAUAUCACAACCAUGAUUGCAAUUACAAGGUAUAAUUUUAAACAUUUGUUGGGUCAUUUAAGUAGCUCUAAAAAUCCAUAUUGUCAAAGUUAAUGUGAAAUUACCAUUUCUCUUUUGAGAAAAUACAAAAAUAAUUCCAACCAUUAAUUUACAUAAUACAUACAACUCUAAAGGCGAAACUACUAAGACUUCAGUUGGAAUGUGUUCCCACAAAUUAUAAGUAAUGUUGUAUAUAAAAUUGCCACUAAUUUAUAAGUAAAUAUGUAAAGUCAAGAUACGAAAUGGAGAAACUUCCAAAAUUUAUAUCAAUUUCAUCUUGAGUUAUGCUUAUUAAAAAUAUUUAAUUUAUCGCUUCUUGAUGUAACAUGUGAAAUCCAUUAGAAUCAUUUUGUACAUUUAGUAAGGCUAAGAUCUUUCAUGUUUUUGAGUCUUACCAUUUCUGUAAAUUUAGAGUUAGGUUUGAAACUAGUAGUGAGAAAUGCUAAUAUUGGAAGAGCUUUCCCGAACACGAAUAUCACCAACAAUCAUAUACAAAAUUGUGUAAGAGAUAAAUGAUUAAAUGAACGAUUGAUUAAAGAUGGAUAGACUGACAUUUUUCAUAGUAUUUAAAAUGAGAAAACAUUAGAUGUAUCUAUAACAUGAACAACUCGUAGGAACAAUUACGAAAGUCUAUAUCAGAUUUUACUUUAUUUUUUAAAACUUUCAUUACUGUGAUACAAUGUUACUAUUGUACAAUUUAUAAUAGGUUUUACGUUUUGUAAGGGUUGUGUCCCUUUUAUACUCACAUUAUUACUUAUCAUAUUUGUUAUAAAAAGUUUAUUAUAUUUUGAAAGAUUUUUCAAAUGUGUGUCAUGUGGGACAUCUUAAGGAUAAAAUAGUGAGUAAAUUGUUAUGCGAAAAUGGAAAAUAUUAAAUUUUAGUUAUUAAACAAACAUUUUCUACAGUAAAUUUAUAUUUAAUAUAUUCUUAACAUGUAUCAUAUGACAUAAACUACAAAAAAGAUGAAUUUGAAUGUCAUAAAUUUAUGUGUUGUCAAUAAAUCUGAAAUUGUUUUAAUCCACUAUUGUAUGUGUAGGAGAUGUUUUGCCAUUAUACUAUCAUAAUAACAGAAUCCAUCAAUUAUUGGUAAACUAUUUUAUUAACGUCAACCAUUAUAACUAAAUAUUAGCAAAGAUGAUAAGCCAAUUUGCAACUCUUUUCACAUAGGGUCAGUAGAAGAUGUGCCAGACUAUGCUUUUCCACAAAUUGCAGGAUUAUUCUUAACAGUUUCACCUCAUGAGUCAUCAAGAAUUCAAAAGUAUUAAGUGAAAGUCUAGGUUUCAUAUUGGGUUAUCAUUAGGGGGGAGCCAUAAAUUAUAUUUCUUGGUGUAAAACUUCUAAAUUUGCAAUACACAUUAUUUCCAAUACACAUUAGGGGGGAACCAAACAUAUGUUGUAAUUAUUCUAUACUAGAUGUCAUAUUUUGGAAACAUUGUAUGAUGUUCCCAUUUUUAACAUUCUUGAAAAAUACCUUUCUCUAUAAAAGUAACUAAACAUUCAUUUAAUCAUUUAUUUCCCAUAUGAUUUAGCAUUCAACUAAUUUUAUGCAUAAUAGACAAAACUCUCUCCACAGUUGGAAGAAUAUCUCUUGGAUAUUAAUCUAAAAAUUAUGGCAAUAAUAUUUCUUAAUUUAUCUCUAUCACUUGGAUGAUAAUAUCCGAAAUGGUUUGCCUUAAACAAAGAUAGUUAGGAAGGCUUGUCAAAUCAAACCCCAGCUUCCUUUUUCAAAGAUGGAUGCAAUAUUGUACUUUCACAUUUAUUAAGUGCUUUAGGAGAAGAUGAUUCAUUUGGAGGUGACUUUGUUAGGGCAAAUAUUCGUACGAAUACGAGAAGGUUGAAUAUUUCUUCGUCAAUGUCAUAGUCAGAAUCAUCAUUAUCUAUCUCUUCAAUAGGUUGUGAUGUUGUUGCUUUGAGAGAUAUUCCUUUCUUUUUACGGUCUGACUCUUCGUGCAUGGCCAGGCGUCCAAGCUUCAUUUCGUGCUCUUGAAGAUUUCCGAACAAUGUUGCCAAAGGUAUGGAAUCAAGGUCCUUAGAUUCCAUGAUAGCCGUUACUUUAGGUUGUCAUCUCUUGUCAAGACAACGUAAAACUUUGUUAGUAAGUUCUCCUUUGGUAAAUUUUUUAUCAAGGGCAACAACGUGAUUUACAAUAUGAGUGAAUCGUUUUUGCCUUAAGCCAAUAGAUUCACUUUGUUGCAUACGAAAUAAUUUGUAUUCAUGUGCCAGCGCAUUCAGCCUGGUACGCUUGACCUCGCUAGUGCCUUCGUGAGUCACGUAUAAAGUGUCCCACAUCUCCUUGGUACUUUGACAUUGAGAUACCCGAAGAAUUUUUUAUAUGAUAGGUCCGAUGUAAUUAUAUUCUUAGCAUGUCGGUUGUAUUGAACCUUUUUGCGCUCCUCAUCAGUCCACAAGCUUUUAGGUUUUUCUUUUGGUUCGUUAUCCACUAAGUGAAGUGGGACGAAGGGCUCGUUGAUUAUUGAUUCACAAAUAUUCGAAUCAAUGGCCUCAAUAAAAAAUUUCAUCCGGACUUUCCAGUAGGCGUAUCCCUCGCCACUAAAUAUGGGAGGGCGGUUAAUGGAUGCGCCAUGACCGCCAAAGGGGUUGGUGGAACCAUAUUUAAUUCCAUUAGGAUCACACGGAUACGGUUGAGCUAGCACGUCAUACUAGCUCUGAUACCACUUCUUAGGUACUGAUGGUCUAGACACACCUAUAAAGGGGGAGGGUUAAAUAGCUGUAGCGGUUAUCAAUUACUGCAUUCCGUACCAAAACCCAGUUAUGGAAAACAGCCCAAGUAAUCGAUUAACUAGUGGGCUUAAUUGAUUAACACGUAUCAGAAAUAGAAUUACCUGAUUAGCUUCUUGCACAGAAAUUUACCAACAAACAAGCAAAGAUACAACAUAUAUUUUUAUGCACAAUUAACAAGGAUAUGGGAAAGUAGCAGUAUACAAAAUAUUAGCUUAAUACAUGAAUUAAAACAGCUUGAAUUAUAAAAGAUAUUGAGAGAGAACAACUUGCACAAUAGGAUUUUUAUCCUGGUUCGUUUGCGGGUUCACUUGCAAACUACAUCUAAGCCUUCCCUUCUGAUCUUGAGAGAUUUCUCUUCACUAUAUUGAAACCUUUGUAUUGUUACAUGCACCAAUUCAAUUACAAGACUCUAGACGAUUUUUCUCAUAUUUCAAGAACCUCUAACCUUGGUUUGACUAUCCCUAUCGCCUGAGAAAACCUUUCUGGCGAUCUAGCCCCAGCCAAGAUCCUCGCUCUAAAUUCAAGACUUCCAAGCCUUGGUUAAGAUUCACUCAAUCUCAAUGGUGGUAAGACAUCAAGAGACUAAACCCAAAGUACAAAACGAUAUACAAAAGCAGAGUUUUACUAAGCACUAAUAUGCUCAAAUUACAACAAUGAAAACUCAAAGAUUAACCCACACUCAAGUAACACAAGCCAUCAGGAACGUACGUGAGUUAAUACAAAAUAUAGAGAAUACAUAUCUUUCUCAAAAAUCUCUAAAAAGAAUACACGAACAUGCAAGAAAGAAUGUAUGAGAUUAAGCACAUGAAAACUACAUGCAAUACAUCAAGAACAAUAUCACUAAGCAUGUUAAUCUCUCUUUCUCACACACGCAUCUCUCUUCUGCUAUAUGAUACAGCAAAUCACGAAUACAAAAAAGUGAUAUGCAAUGAUGCACGUUUAUGCACUUUUCUAGAAUUUAUACAAAACGAAUUUGGCUCUAAAAAUCGUUUGUUUCAGUUACGCGAUUAAAACAGUUAAAACGGAAAACAGACAUGUUAAUCGAUUAAGGCUAAACGUUAAAAGUGAUUAACUAGCAUACUUCAAUACGUGAUUAAAUGGUAAACUCCUUACAUGUUAUGCUUGACACCUAUACAUGUUUUAUAAAUUAUGUUAUGCCUAAUAUGCACAUAUAGCAUGUAUCAUUAAUGCAUGAACAUAUAAUAAACUAGAUGAUAUGCCUCAUGAAUAUGAUAUGAAAACAUUUAUGGCUUGUGAGACUUGCAUCUAGGUUUAUCUAGCCCAGACACACUAACUAAGGCAUACAUCCUAGUCUACUUAGAAAUAUAACUCUAUUGAUAUUACUUAGUCUAGAUAUGACCCUUGGGUAGUACACCUUCCCCAUUGCUACGUUUUUGGACCUGAACUAGUCUCAGACCUACAUAUAUACCCAUUGGGCCUACUACUUGUGGAUACUUAGAAAUUAAUAAAAUGAUUGUGAUUAGUAUGCAAAAAUGUGUGUUUGUUUCAUAUAAACUGAUAUUUAAUUAAGAGAAAAAUAAUUUUAACACAAUUUAUGUUUAUUAUUAAACACACCAUAGCAUUAUAUCACACAUACGAAUUAAAAUGAUAUCACUACUUAACAAUAUAACAGACACAUUUAUAUAUUAACAUGAAAUUAUAGCUACAAAUUAACAAUCUUACAUUACAGUUAUGACGCUAUAUAUAUAAGGGUUUUCUAACAUGAGGAAAAUAUUUUUUCAGUUAGAUACAUGUUAGUAUUGUGUACCAAACGAUUUGGACAAAAAACCUUCCAGGCUUUGUUGUAAGAUGUUUUAUUGAAAUGGGUGUUUUUGUAAAUUAACUUUCUCUCACCUCACACCCCAAAACUUCAAUCCUCUUCCUCAUUUGAUUAUUCUCAAAUUUCAAAACUCUAACUUUCGCUAUUCCUCUAGAACUACCUUAAUAUUUUACUGAGCUAUGCUAUUGUUACACCUGGCAUUUGUUUUGGCCAGUAUUAUCAUUUUUAGUUUUAUUUUGUACUUCAAAAAAUGAAGAAACGUAUGAAUAAUAAGUCACCAAUAUCAAUGGCAUAAUAUUUGACAAAUUUAUUCAUUAUAUUCUCAUCGAGCCAUCACAUUCUCAUUCAUAGUACUAACUAUUAAAAACUGCACUAUCACAGUGGGUUAAAGGAUAAAGAUGAGAAAAAUGAAGCACAUGAGAUACUUUUAUUCCAUUUGUUGGGAACAAGCGAGAAAUCAAAUAUUAAAGAGUAUAGAGAAAAUAGAAUAAAACAAGGAAUUUGAUAACGAGGUUCGGUCAAUUGUGCCAACAUCCCUGUUAACGUUGAGAGGCUACCACUAUAUGUUAUUGGAGAAUAAGGAUUUGUGUUUGACUAUUCUUCUCCUUUUCACAUUAGGUUUACAUAAAAUAAAUAUAUAGCCAUCUACCCCAACCCAUUUACAUCAGCCCAAACCCAUAACUUGUAUUGCUAUGAUCUAGAGACAUGAGUCAUGGUGCAACAAUCUCCACCUUGGCGAAUAUCAUCAAUAUCCAUCUUCCACCAUUGGGUUGGAGGCGCUCCAUAGUCUAGCAUUAGUGAAUAUUCCAUGAUAACCAGUUUGGCUAACAUAUCAGCUGCAUUUUCUGAAGUGUGAACCGUUUACAAUAGUAUAUGCCCACAAGCUACCAACUCUCUAAUCUUUUGAAAUCUCACAUCAAUAUGUUUGGUCAUAGCAUGAUACACCUGGUUCUCUGUCAAGAAGAUAGCAAUCUAACUAUCACAAUGGGUGGAACUCUACCUUGCUCAUUGCCUAAUUUAUUUACUAUCCCCAUAAGCCAUAGGACUUCCUUAGAAGCUUCACCAACUGCCAUGUACUCUGCUUCAGUUGUAGACAGAGCAACAACAGACUGAACUGAUGAUCUCAAAAUAGGUCCACCUCCAAGGGUGAAGACAAACUCCAUUGUGGACCUUCUAUAUCCAAGUCUCCUGCAUAGUCCGAAUCAACAUAAUCAAUAACUAAAGGCUUUAUUCACUGCCAAACAUGAUACUGAGAAGCGUAGACCCCUUCAAAUAUCUGAAAAUUCAUUUGACUACUUCCUAAUGUUGCUUCCCUGGUUUAGACAUGUACUUGCCUACUUGACUAUCUGCUUGUGCCAAGUCCGGUCUAGUACAAACCAUAACAUACAUCAAGCAACUCAGUGCACUAGCAUAUGGAACCUUUGACAUAUACUUAUUCUCUUUAUAUGUCUUUGGACACCAAUCUAGGGAAAUCUUGAAGUGGUUUACCAAUGGAGUGCUCACUACUUCAGGAUUGCUCAUAUCAAAUCUCUCUAAGAUCUUUUCAACAUAGCUUUGCUGGGAGAGCCGUAGUUUUCUAGUUCCCCUAUCCCUGUGAAUCUCCAUCCUAGGAAUCUUCCUAGCAACCCCUGAAUCUUUCAUGUCAAACAACUUACCUUUCAUGACAUUCAACUCAUUGAUAUCACUUAAAUGAUUAGCAGUAAUCAACAUAUCAUCAACAUAAAGUAGAAGAAAAAUAAAAAACCAUCAUCAAGGCUUAUCACAUAAACACAACAAUCAUACUCACAACGCUUGUAACCAAGCUUCAACAUAUAAGUGUCAAACCGCUUGUACCACUAUCUGGGAGACUGCUUCAACCGAUAUAGAGACAUCUUCAAUUUGCAAACCAAGUGACUCUGUCCAACUACACUGAACCCUUCUGGUUGUGUCAUGUAUAUUUUCUCCUCUAAAUCACCACGAAGAAAGGCAAUCUUCACAUCCAUAUGUUCUAAGUGCAUAUCUCGACUGGCAACCAAGGCAAGCACUACCGUAGUAUAAGUGUGUCUCACUACUAGAGAGAAAAUAUCAUUUUAGUAGAUCCCCUUCAAUUGUGAAUACCCUUUUGCUAAAAGACGAUCCAUGAAAUUUUCCCCUUCUUUUUUUGAUAAUGUUGGUUUCCUCUUGUACACCCACUUGCACCCAACUGCACGCUUGUCCAAGGGCAAUGAGACAAGCUCCCAUGUUUGGUUCUUGUGUAGAGACUACAUCUCCUCCAUCAUGGCACCCAUCCAUUGUUCUUUCUCCUGGCUGUUUAUAGCCUCUUGAAAGCUACAUGGAUCUCCUGAACUGAUAUGGAGAGAAAUUGAAGCCAUAUCUUCAAAGCCAUAUCUCUCUAGAGGUUUGAUAGGACGUCUAUCCCUGUCUCUAGCAAGUAGAUCUUCGUCUGAGAAUCAUCAUACUCUUGACAUGAACUAGUGCAUGGUUCCUUGCUUUUAUUCACCUGAACCAUUUCAUUGCUCACUGGAAUGAUAUUUGAUCCCAAAGUCUCUCCAUUUGGCCUGGACAACACUGUCAAAAUUGAUUGUUUCAUCAUGAAAUCUUCAUUAAACGCUGCAUCUCUGCUCAACACCACCUUUCUAGAAACUGUAUCCCAGAACUUGAACCCCUUCACACCUUUGGUAUAUCCAAUGAAGAUACACCUCUUAGACUUAGAAUCAAGUUUAGAUCGUUCAUCACUAGGUACAUGUACAUAAGAAGGACAACCAAAUAUGUGUAACAUAUUAUAAUUGAUUGGGUUACCUAUCUAUACUUAUUCUACAACUUUAUCAUCCAAUGAAGCUUCUGGUGAUGUAUUGAUGACAUAACAUUUCAUACUAAGUGCCUAUGACCAAAAUCCUUUGGAAUGUCUAGCAUUAAGUCUCAUACAUCUGGCCAUCUCUAUAAGAGUUCUAUUCAUCAUCUCUGCAAUAUCAUUAUGUUGAGGAGUCUUCUUCACUUAAAAGUGCUUCUAAAUGCCAGGUUUCCUCACAAAAAUUCUAAAACUGUGAGUCUUUGUACUCCAUACCAUUGUCUGACCUUAGAUAUUUUAUUUUUCUACCAGUCUGGUUCUCUACCUCUGCCUUUCAAACCUUAAACUUGACAAAAACUUCUGACUUAUGCUGCAGAAAAUAUACUCAGACCUUGCGGGAAAAGUCAUCAACAAAGGUAAUAAAAUACCUAGAACCUCCUAGGGAUGCUUCCUGGAUGGUCCCCAUACAUCAUUGCGAACAUAGCCUAGAACGCCCCGAGUCUUGUGUUGGUCAGCCUUGAAACUAACUCGUAUCUAUUUCCCAAGCACACAAUACUCUCACAAAUCUAGCUUGCAUUUGCUGACUCCCCUCAACAGUCAUCUUCUGUAUAGUUUUGUCAUGACACACAUACUCAUAUGUCCCAAAUGCAACUGCCAUAAUGUUUUAGCGCCAUGGUCUGAAUCUACUCAGAUCUCUUCAGCCACUCUAGGAACUCCAUCUACAAUUGUUCUCCCUAAUAGCUUGUAAGUGUUCCUUCCAGUCCUCUUACCCUUCAUUACAGUCAGAGUACCUUUACAUACUCGAAGAAUAUCACUAUACCCAUCAGCCCUAUAGCUAAAUCCUUUGGCCUACAAUGUCCAUAAAGAAAUCAAAUUCUUCUUCAAAUAUGGUAUAUGCCUAACCUCUCAUAACACCUUCAUACACCAUCAUCCAUCAAAUUUUGGAUUUCUUUAAUGUCAAUAAUUCCACAUGCUUCAUUAUUUCUGAGAUACACAAAACCAAAAUUUUAUGUCUUGUAUCUGGUGAACCAUUCUCUAUUUGGCAUCAUGUGGUGGGAACAACUACUGUUAAGUAUCCAUUCAUCUAUACUAUGAUUUGAUGACACAAAUAGUUGAUCAACUUCACUGUUGUAACCAGAGUCAUGUUUAUGUGCAACAGUUAUAGAUGUAGAUACUUCAUCUUCCCUAUCGGCUUGAUAGNNNNNNNNNNNNNNNNNNNNNNNNNNNNNNNNNNNNNNNNNNNNNNNNNNNNNNNNNNNNNNNNNNNNNNNNNNNNNNNNNNNNNNNNNNNNNNNNNNNNGGUAACGAGGUUCGGCCAAUUAUGCCUACGUCCUUGGGAGCACUGAGCGACUACCAAGAUAUUAUUAGAGACUAAGGACUACAAACCCUAGCUCACACAGGGACCUGAGUCCAAUAUAUAACAUUGAUAUUUUACUCUAUUCUAAUGCUAGGCAAUGUGAGACUUCUUAUAAUAACGUAUUUCAAACAUCCCCGACAAUCUCCACCUUGAUUGAAAUAGACGAAUAUCUCGUUCCUUAGGAAAUCUUCACCUUAGCGAAUAUAGGACUCCAUCUUGCUCAAUGUCUAAUUCUCUUUAACUUCUCCCCUACAAUAUAGACCUUCUCCAUAUCCUUGACGAUGUUACCAAGAGCCUAGCUCUCCAAACUUGUAGUGUAGCUUCCUAGGAAAGUAACGCCCCGAAAUGUCAUCUGAAAAUAUUUGAAGAGAUUUUUAUUUUAAUAUCAUGUAAAUUAAUUUAGAAAAUAUAGAAAAUAAUUAUCUCAUCAAAGAUGGAGGAAAUAUCACUAGUAUUCACUUGUUUUAUUCAACUCAUUCUUUGAACAGUCUUGAUAUAUUGCUUCAAUUAUUUAAAACAAAUAAAAUAUAACCAAACAAUCAAACUAUUUUCUAACAAGAACAAUGAUUCCAUAUACAUAAUAAGAUGCAUUUCCCAUCUUCUUUUUUUAAUUUGUAAUUUCCAUUUCUAUUAAUUAUUAUUAUUAUUAUAAUAAAUAUAAGUUUUAAAUUUCUAUAUAUAAUAAUAAUUUUUAAUUAUGUUGCUAAUGUUAAUAUAAAUAAAUUAAUAUAUAUUACGAAUAAAUGAGUAUUAUUAAAUUAUUUAAUAAUUAUUGAAAUUAUAAUUGUGAAUUUUCAUGAUAUUUUCUAUUAAAAAAACUUCUCUUAACUAUAAAUUUUAAUAAACUUCAUUUUAAAUAAAUUUCACUAAAAUAUAUUUUCUAAAUUUUAAUAAAGUUCAAUUUAAAUAAAGGAUAAAUAUUUUAAAAUAAUUUAUAAUAAAGGUGUAUGAAAGCUCAUGAUUUUAUUUCUUUUCCUUAGAUCAUCUUUUGAACAUUAGUUAUACACUGCUUCCAUUCAUUAACAUUAAAAUCAUAAGUAAAUUAAAAAUGAAAAAUAGAUAAAAUAUUUUGAUAUAAUAAAAAAUUAAUAAUUUUUAGAAAUUUGGUAUUUUUAUAAUUAUCAUAUCAAGGAUUGAGGAAAGGUCCUUAGGAUUCACUAGUUUUCCUCAUCUCCUUCUUUGAAUAAUCUUGAUAUAUUGCUUCUAUUAUUUAAAACAAUUACAAUACACUCACCCAAUAAAACAUUUUUCAACCAAGAACUACUUAAGUCUGGAUUCCCUAUUACACAAAAUUGAGACACUACAUUAUUUUAAGAACAAAAAACAAAGUGUAGAUUAUUAAAAUUAGAAUUUAGGUAUAUAAACUUAUGAAAAUAUUUCAUUUCAAAAUUAGGCAUGAAAGGAAAUAAAAAAAAGUACAAUGAAAUAAAUAAUUUGGACCAAUAAAAUAAUAUAAUCAGUCAACUUUAAUUUAGAUUUUGAAAUCAAUACAUAUACUCCACACAAACAAAACAAAAUAUAAUUAAAUAAAAUCAUGUCUUUUCUUUUUCGUUGAAGAAUAAUUACAUGUACUAUUGUAAACGUUUUCACGAACAUGAAUAUUAUAUUUCCACGAUCAUAUGUCAUUAUAUUUUCACCAAUAAGAAACAACCACCUUAUUGUGUACUCCUAUAACUUUUUCUUUAUUUCUUUUAUUACGAGUUGGUUUUUUAUUGCUCGUAAAGAAAGCAUAUUAUACUGAUUAUUGACAACUUUAUUCUCUACAUGGUUUUCAUCUAAAUUCACCUUCUAAAACACUGUUGGGUCCUAUUAUUGUCAAAGUCAAGUACAAUAAUGCAUACAUCAAAGACAAUUUCACGUGAAAUCUUGAGUGUUUGUAGGAAGGUCAGUCUCGAGUGAAAGUCAAAGUUACCAUAUAUGAUUGGUAUUUUUAAAUGGUAAAUAAAAACUAUAAAAGAUGAAGCAUUUGUUUUGUCAUCAGCAUAAUCAAAACCCACUUUGAAGUGAAGUAGGGGUAAAAUGGGUUAUCUACUUGUCUCAACUUUUGUUUCUCUUGCAUUACCUAUAAUACUCUUCAGUUUGCUAUCUGAGGCAAACAUCACUACCCCUUUCAAACACCACUCUCCUCCACGGACGGCUCACACCAACCCACCCCACAUUCCUAACCUAGUGCACCACCCUCCAUCACCACCAUCUCCAUAACACAAGCACCACCUACCACCACGACCAUCUCCAGAACACAAGCACAAGCACCAUUCCAGAACACAAGCACAAGCAUCACGCACCACCACCACCGUCUCUUGAUCACAAGCACAAACACCAUUCUCCACCAGCACCAUCUCUAGAACACAAGCACAAGCACUACUCUCCACCACCACCAUCUCCAUCAUGCAGGAACAUGCACCACCAUCAUCGUCGCCACAAGCGCCAUUCAGCCUCACCACACCACAAGAACCCUCGUCACUCUAAUCCAUCAUCCCAUCACAACAAGCCUCAGAACUCUCCUCCACCAUCACACCACACGAAGCCUCAUCAUUCUCCUCCACCACCACACCACAAGAACCCUCAUCAUACUCUCCACCACCACACCACAAGAAUCCUCAUCAUGCUCCUCCUUCAUCCCACCAUAAGAACCUUCACCACUUUCCUCCACCACUACACCACAAGAAGCCUCAUCACUCUCUUCCACCACUACACCACAAGAACCCUCAUCAUGCUCAUCCAGCAUCCUACCACAAGAACCCUCACCAAUCUCCUUCUUCAUCACACCACAAGAAACCUCAUCACUCUCCUCCACCACCACACCACAAGAAUCCUCAUUAUGCACCUCCAUCAUCCCACCAUAAGAACCCUCAUCACUCUCCACCCCCACCUUACGACAACUAGAAAUGGUAUUUAACAAUCUGCACACAUAUAUUAUGCACAUAUUUUUCCUAUAUUUUAUAAACAUCCACUAUUAUUUUUAAUGAAUCAAAAUGUCUUCAACUACAAUAUAUAAUCUUGAUAUAAAAUUUUCAAGGCUAAAAAUAUUUUAUAUUGUCAUCUAGUUAUUAUACUAACAAUAUAUGAAGCUUAAAUUCUUAUCUUAAUUUGAAACAAAAAUCCAUGUUAUGAAACACCCUUUGGGUAUUAAAUACUUUAACUAGUCUACAUUUCUUAUAAAAUAUUGGUAAUAUUAUAUGUUAUCAAGGAUUAAUCAUGGAGUGAUACACUAAUACACACAUGUUUAAUUAUGCAGGGUCCAAGUAAAAUGCGUGAAGUAAAUGCUAUUAUUGGUUAGUGAUUUAUGCAAACUUCAUCAAAGCUUUUGAUUAUUGUUUACACGAAAAAAUUGAGUGUUUUCAAUUACGUAUAUUAUGUUUUUGUUGUAUUAUGGUGUUGUAAAGGGCACAGCCACUCUACCCUAUCAUGUAUAUGUUGUUAUUUACAUGCAUUGUACUUUUCAAUGUCUGGAAGACGAUGCAAUAUAUAAAUAAUUUUAAAUUUAAAAUCUUUCAUACUUGGAACAAAACAAGUCCUUUAUUUUGUGAUGUUGAGUGAGCGUCUCUUGGUUAGUAUUUAACUAAUUGAAGGUUAACAUUGUUUUAAUCCAUCAAUAAGUAUGAAAAUAUCAUUUUUCAAAUGAUAUAAACAUGAAGGUAGGUCAUAUAAUAGUAAUAAUUAGUGCGUUAAAUUAUGGUUAUUGUUGGUUGUGGGUACAUAGAGUUUUCCACAUUUCUCUUUUGGAUGUAUCUAUAGCAUGAACAACUCGCACGAAAAAUUAUGAAAGUUUAUGUCAAAUUUUAUUAUAUUUUUUUAAACUUUCAUUAUUGUGGUACAAUGUUACUAUUGUGUAAUUUAUUAUAGGCUUUACGUGUUGAAAGAGUUGUGUCCCUCUUAUACUCAUAUUAGUACUUAUCAUAUUUGUUAUAAAAAAUUUAUUAUAUUUUUAAGGAUUUUGCAAAUGUGUGUUAUGUGGCACAUCUUAAGAAUACAAUAUUGAGUAAAUUGAUAUGGGAAAACUAAAAAUAUUAAAUUUUAGUUAUUAAAAAAAUAUUUUCCAGUGUAAAUUUAUAUUUUAUGUAUUCUUAACAUGUAUCAUAUGACGUAAAUUACAAAAAGAUGAAUUUGAAUGUCAUAAAUUUAUAUGUUGUCAAUAAAACCUAAAAAAAAUCAACAACCCUUGUAUGUGUAGGCGAUGUUUUGCCGUUAUACUAUCAUAAUAAAAGAAUCCGUCAAUUAUUGAUAAGCUUAUUAAUUAACGUCAACCAUUAUAACCAAAUAUUAGCCAAGAAGAUAAGCCAAUCUCAACUCUCUUCACAGAAGGUCAGUACAAGAUGUGCUAGACUAGGCUUUUCGACAACUUGUAGGAUUAAUCUUAAUAAUUUCACCUCAUGGGUCAUCAAGAAUUCCAAAAGUAUUAAGUGCAACUCAAGGUUUAUCUUAGGUUGUUAUUAGGGAUGGAGCUAGAAAUUAUAUGACUUAGGGAAAAACAUAUAAAUUUGCAAUACACAAAAUGUAACAUAUUAUUCUCAUCAAUUUCCCUACUCACAAACACUAGUACCAAUUUUCUCUCUUUUUUUAAUAGGCAAAGAAUGUGGGGAAAAAAUAUGAAAAAAAGUAGUCUUGUUGCUUUCUCAACUGAAGCUUUGAGCAUAAUAACAACAUAGUCUUCUUCAUAUUACUAUGAGUGGCUUAAAGAACCCGUUAUAGAUUAAAGGAUUCUGAAUAGUAUAGAAUAAUUUUGUCAGAUUACUAAAUCAUAGAAAUGACAAAGGCAAAAUUAAGCAACUAAAGGUUUAACACAUAAAAUCCAUGAAUUAUAGUUUUAUUGAAAGAUGAUAAGAAAUCAAAGAAAAAGACUCAUAUUUUUUGUCAUCACUUGUUCAAAUUAAGCAUAUAUAAUUAAUUUUAUAAGAUUAUCACAACCACACAACAACUUUAUUAUCCUUAAUUUAAUUUCAUGUUAUCAAUUUGCACAAAAUAUUGAAAUCAACAUAAUGAUUUAAACUAGUUCUAAUAUGUUUAUUAAUUUGCAACAAGAUGCAACUAAUGUCACUUAGAAUAUGUUUUAGAAAAAUCAAACUAUUCCAAAUUAGGGAUUUUAUGUAAAAUCAUGUGGACAGAUUCCUUACUCAUUUUACUAGCAGAAUUAGGGGUUUCAUCACAAACCUUGUGUUCCAAAUUAAAAGAAUAAGAAUAGAUACCUAUUAACUUUGUCUUUAAUUUCCUUACAGAAUUAUGGAUUUCAUGACAUACCUAAGCAAUCUCGAAUGUUUGUUACAUAAUCUCAAAUUAAGGAAAUGAGAAGAAAAACGAAUGAACAAGUAAAUAAAAGUGAAGAAAAUCGAAUGAACGAACAAGUGACCUGUUGAAUGGAAAUGAAGAAUAAGAACAAGUCACUUGGUCCUAGUGAAAAAAAUGUGGAAAUGAACAAACAUCCGAGAUUCAACAAGACUUGUUCUUCUGGAUAGUGUGGAAUGGUGAUGAAGAGUUGUGGAAUGGUUUCACUAUUGAGGAGAAGUAGGAUUGAUCUUGUUUGCACAAAUGGAAAGAAGCUGGAGAAGUAGAAGGAUUUGUUAACCUGGUCCUGUGGAUGGUUUGUGAAGAAAAAGGGUUUGUGAAGUGGGACCGCGUAAAUUAAUUCGUGGUUUGGCUUCAAAAAAACUAAUAAAAUCAUAAGACACCAUUAAGCACCUCGCUCUCCUCCACCUAAAGCCUACACCAUUAACAAAUUCAGACCCCGCUCUCAUCCACCUAAAGCACCUCGCUCUCCUCCACCUAAAGCAGACAUCAUUAACAAAUUCAGACCCCGCUCUCCUCCACCUAAAGCACCUCGCUCUCCUCCAUCUAAAGCAGACACCAUUAACAAAUUCAGCCCCCACUCUACUCCACUUAAAGCAGACACCAGUAACAAAUUUAGACCCCGCUCUCAUCCACCUAAAGCACCUCACUCUCCUUCACCUAAAGCAGACACCACUCACAAAUUCAGACCCCGCUCUCAUCCACCUAAACCACCUCGUUCUCCACCACCUAAAACAGACACCAUUAAAGAAAUCCAUUAGAAUCAUUUUGUACAUUUAGUAAGGCUAAGAUAUUAAAACAGACCUCGCUCUCCUCCAUCUUGAGUUAUGCUUAUUAAAAAUAUUUAAUUUAUCGCUUCUUGAUGUAACAUGCGAAAUUCAUUAGAAUCAUUUUGUACAUUUAGUAAGGCUAAGAUAUUUCAUGAGACCUCGCUCUCCUCCAUCUUGAGUUAUGCUUAUUAAAAAUAUUUAAUUUAUCGCUUCUUGAUGUAACAUGCGAAAUUCAUUAGAAUCAUUUUGUACAUUUAGUAAGGCUAAGAUAUUUCAUGUUUUUGAAUCUUACCAUUUUUGUAAAUUUAGAGUUAGGUUUGAAACUAGUAGUGAGAAAUGCUAAUAUUGGAAGAGCUUUCCCGAACACGAAUAUCACCAACAAUCAUAUACAAAAUUGUGUAAGAAAUAAAUGAUUAAAUGAACGAUUGAUUAAAGUUGUAUAGACUGACAUUUUUUAUAGUAUUUAAAAUGAGAAAAACAUUAGAUGUAUCUAUAACAUGAACUCGUAGGAACAAUUAAGAAAGUCUAUAUCAGAUUUUACUUUAUUUUUUAAAACUUUCAUUAUUUUUGUACAAUGUUACUAUUGUAUAAUUUAUAAUAGGCUUUAUGUUUUGUAAGGGUUGUGUCCCUUUUAUACUCACAUUAUUACUUAUCAUAUUUAUUAUAAAAAGUUUAUUAUACUUUGAAGGAUUUUUCAAAUGUGUGUCAUGUGGGACAUCUUAAGGAUAAAAUAGUGAGUAAAUUGUUAUGGGAAAGUUGAAAAUAUUAAAUUUUAGUUAUUACAAAAAAUUUCUACUGUAAAUUUAUAUUUAAUGUAUUCUUAACAUGUAUCAUAUGACGUAAACUACAAAAAAGAUGAAUUUGAAUGUCAUAAAUUUAUGUGUUGUCAAUAAACCUGAAAUUGUUUUAAUCCACCAUUGUAUGUGUAGGAGAUGUUUUGCCAUUAUACUAUCAUAAUAACAGAAUCCAUCAAUUAUUGAUAAACUAUUUUAUUAACGUCAACCAUUAUAACUAAAUAUUAGCCAAGAUGAUAAGCCAAAUUGCAACUCUCUUCACAGAGGGUGUGCUAGACUAUACUUUUCCACAAAUUGCAAGAUUAAUCUCAUGGGUCAUCAAGAAUUCAAAAGUAUUAAGUGAAAGUUUAGGUUUCAUAUUGGCUUAUCAUUAGGGGGAGCCAUAAAUUAUAGUUCUUGGUGCAAAACUUAUAAAUUUUCAAUACACAUUAUUUCCAAUAGUACAAACAUAUGUUGUAAUUUUUAUUCUAUACUAGAUGUCAUAUUUUGGAAACAUUGAAUGAUGUUCCCAUUUCUAAAACUCUUGAAAAAUACCUUUCUCUAUAAAAGUAACUAAACAUUCAUUUAAUAAUUUAUUUCCCAUAUGAUUUUGCAUCCAACUAAUUAUAUAAAUAAUAGACAAAACUCUCUCCACAGUCGGAAGAAUAUCUCUUGGAUAUUAAUCUAAAAAUUAUGUCAAUAAUAUUUCUUAAUUCAUCUCUAUCACUUGGAUGAUAAUAUCCGAAAUCGUUUGCCUUAAACAAAGAUAGUUAGGAAGCCUUGUCAAAUCAAAUCCCAACUUUCUUUUUCAAAGAUGGAUGCAAUAUUGUACUUUCACAUUUAUUAAGUGCUUUAGGAGAAGAUGAUUCAUUUGGAGGUGACAUUGUUAGGGCAAAUAUUUUCAUUUCUUAUUCUAGAAAUAGGAUCACUAUAAGUAUAUAACAAUAAAUAAAUAAAUCUCAAGAUAACUAGUGAUAAAAUAAGUUAUACUAUAUUAAUAUAUUAUAAAAAUAUGACUAUAUUAAUAUUACAAUACGUGUUCGAGUGCAUCUAUUAAUUUUUAUAUAGAGUAUACCUCUGUAAUAUUAGAAUAAUGGAAUCAUACAACAUAUUAUACAUAUUCAUAAGAAAGGAGAUAAUGAGCUAAGGAAAGAAGUACACUAGGCACAAAAUGUUUUGGGUUCUACUAAGGUAUUCUCAUACCUUUAGGGUAAGGAACUAAUCUCUUUCGGGGUGUGUGGUUGCCCCUCCAAAAACAUGUCACUCUCAGAAAUAAAACCCUUGGCAUUUUGAUCAUCCUAGGAAUCUAGUGGGAUACUAGAGCAACACCUGGUUAGUCACUAAGCACAAUAUAUCUCCCCUAUUCUUCAAUCUUAGUAUUGUGCUAAAUAGAAGGAAUAUAGUGGAAGUUGGGGAUCAUAAGAGGUAAGGGGAAACAAGUGGUCAAUGUUAGUAUGGUAGCCACAAGAUUUAUGGGGGUAAUUAAAGGACAUAGUGGACCUCCAUCAUUUGUAAAAGAAGGUAUUGUAAAGGGCACGACCACUCUACCAUAUAAUGUAUAUGUUGUUGUUUAUAUGUAUUGUACUUUUCAAUGUCUGGAAGAUGAUACAAUAUAUAAAUAAUAAUAAAUAUAAAAUCUUUCAUACUUGGAACAAAAACAAGUCCUUUAUUUUGUGAUGUGAGUGAGCGUCUCUUGGUUAGUAUUUAACUAAUUGAAGACUAAGAUUGUUUUAAUCCAUCAAUAAGUACGAAAAUAUCAUUUUUCAAUUGAUAUAAACCUGAAGGUAGGUCAUAUAAUAGUAAUAAUUAGUGCGUUAAAUUAUGGUUAUAGUUGGUUGUGGGUACAUAGAGAUUUCCAAAAUUGCAGACAAAUGACAGGAAAAUAUACUCAAUAUGAUCACAAUAUCGAUUACAACCACGAUUACAAUUACAAGCUACAAUUUUAAACAUUAGUUGGGUCAUUAAGUAGCUCUAAAAAAUCACAUUGUCAAAAUUAAUGUGAAAUUACCCUUUCUCUUUUGGAUGUAUCUAUAGCAUGAAAAACUCGCACAAACAAUUAUGAAAGUCUAUGUCAAAUAUUUUUUUUUUUAAGUUUCUUUAUCGUGGUACAAUGUUACUAUUGUGUAAUUUAUUAUAGGCUUUACGCGUUGAAAGUGUUGUGUCCCUCUUAUACUCAUAUUAGUACUUAUCAUAUUUGUUAUAAAAAAUUUAUUAUAUUUUAAAGGAUUUUGCAAAUGUGUGUUAUGUGGCACAUCUUAAGGUUAUAAUAUUGAGUAAAUUGAUAUGAGGGAAGCCAUGUGUCAAAAAAGCUCUGCUAGGGUUUGACCUCCACCACUCUUGGAUCCUCAAUCAUUCAUUCUUCUCAUUCAAAAACAAUGAUUCCUUGGACCUUCCUGGCCAAUCUGGACAACUCUGUCUCUGUAGAGGCAAUCAGCUCGAAACAUGCUCCACAAAUCUUGGAAAUCAAAAGUAAAAAAUCCUUUGCACAAAUCCUUAAGGCCACUGCUGAUAUCUCCAUUUCUCAGUUGCCACAGCCAUGUAUUAAGGGAGAUGCUAUAGCUAUCAAGAUCCCGGAGGAGGAGUACCAAGCUGGGCUCCAAAGAUGCAAAACUCACCUUCAUGGAAUGCUGAUUUUAUCCAAGGGAGAUACACCAAUUAAGUUCAAUGAGCUUCGAUCUAAGCUCCAAGCGCUUUGGACCAUGAUUGGAACAUGGAACAUGAUCUCCUUAGGUCGUGGGUUCUACGAUUUUUCUUUCUCCUCGGUCGAGGACAUGAGGACAGUUUGUGCGGCUGGAUCCUGGAGUCUAAAACCAGGUUUUCUUAGGUUGUCCUUGUGGACACCGGAUUUCAAUCCUAGCCUUCAGAAGUUGUCUCAUUCCCAAUGUUGGGUUAGGAUCUUGGGUCUUCCUCUUGAGUACUAGAGUGCUAGAAUCUUGUUUUCAAUUGUUGGGGGGUUGGGCACUCCAAUUUCUCUUGAUGAAGCAACCACAACUCGGUCCUUUGGGCACUAUGCCAGGAUUCUGGUGGACAUAGAUCUUAAGGGAUCGCUGCCAAAUCAAAUCAUGGUGGAACGAGAAGGAUUCGCCUUCUUUGUCUACAUAGAGUAUGAGAACCUCCCCAAAUUUUGCUCUAGAUGCCACUCCAUUGGCCAUCUUCUAUCUAACUGUAGGAGGAAUAAAAAGGAUCUUGAGGUCGAAGUAUCAAGGCCUAAGAAAACUAAUCCUACAGGGAAAGCUUCAAAGUUCACUCCAUAAAAUGAACAUGCUCCUAGCUCUCGUGACAACAGAAACAUUCCAAAUCAGCAUAGUGAUCCUGACCCCUCAAAGUUGGGACACCUGCCUAAGGAAACUCUUGGCAAUGAUUUGAUCAUCAACCUGGAGUUUGAUAAUGGUGUCAACCUGCCAAUGGAUCAACUUAGAAGGGAUGCUACCCCCCUGUUGUGGAGGUAGGUGACUCAGAAGACUCAAAUGAUGAGGCAUCAAAUGAUACUAGAGUGGAGGACUCUAUGGAGAAUGAUGGUAUCACUAAUGUGCAGCUGAUGCCAGCUGAGAACUUCUCAGUGCAAUCUCAUGACCAAAUGAUUAAUCUGCCUGCAGCAAAAGAGUCAAGAAUUGUGGGUAGACUUUGGGCUAAUGAAGGGGAGGAAGACAUACUUGAAAGGGGUGAUGCUGACAAAGCUGAGGAGGGAAACUAUUCCAAAGUGUUGUCUAAAUCUCAGAAGAAAAAGCUGAGACAUAAGAAAAGCUUGGAAAGAGUCCAUUUUACCCGAAGGGGUGGUUAUCUAAACGUUUCCAAAUGAAGGUGCUCUAUUGGAAUAGUAGAGGCAUGGGCAAUCAUAAAACUAGAUUAGUGUUUAAAAAGCUUUGUUCUGAAAAUAAGCCUGAGGUUGUGUUCAUUUCUGAACCCAUGGUGCUUUGUAAUAAGAUUAAUCCCUUAUUUUGGUCUGGUUUAAAUCUCAAGCUCUUCACUGUAAAUGAUAGGGGCAGCUUGUUGCCUAAUAUCUGGGGCCUUUGUCAGGUUGGUCUCAACCCAACAAUUAUUUCUAAUACCUCUCAGUAGGUCUCCAUCUUCUUGGUCUUGGAUAAUCAACUUGUUUUCAUUUGUGUUGUCUAUGCUCACACUCAAUACUUGGUGCAUAGGUCCUUAUGGUCUGAUAUUCUUUCUCUGAUUUCUGCCAAUAAUGGUCCUUGGUGUUGCAUAGGGGAUUUCAAUUCUGUCCUUGGAGCUAAUGAGUGUAGAGGUGCUUCCUUGCCUAAUAGAGUUGCUUUUGAAGAAUUCAAAAUGUUUUCUAAGAUUGGGAAUCUGCAUCACAUUAUGACUAGGGGUGUUGAGUUCACCUGGUCUAACAGACGGAGAGGGGUGGCUCAUACUAAAAAAAGACUAAACAGAGCAAUCAGCAAUGAUGAUUGGCUCUCAAGCUGGCAUCACACCUCUUGCUUCACCCUUCCUAGAUCUUCUUAUGACCAUCAUCCCUUGAUGCUCUGUUCCUCUCAGGGAUCAAACAUUGUGCAUUCCCCUUUUAAAUUCCAUAAGAUGUGGAUUCAGCACCAGGGUCUAAGGAGGGUGGUUGAGACACAUUGGUCUAGCAUUGUAGUGGGCUGCCCUAUGUAUGUGCUUUCAAAAAAGCUAAAGGGCCUGAAGGCUAUUUUGAAAGUCUGGAAUAAAGAAGUCUUUGGCAACAUUCACUCCAGGGUCAAGAAUGCCUUAGAUUUGGUUGAGCUUAUCCAACAGAAACUCUCAUAUGAGGACCAAUCUGAUCUUCUUUUGGCUCAAGAGGAGCAGGCUCAAAAGGAUCUAUUGGUGGCCUUCAACUCUGAAGAGGAGUUUUGGAAGGAGAAAUCCAGAUUAAAUUGGCAUAUUAAUGGUGACAGGAACACUAGCUAUUUCCACAAAAUUGCCAAAAUAAGGUAUGCUACUAAAUCUAUGUCAAUGCUUAGAAAGGAUGAUACCACUCUGCUUGAUCAGCAUGAAAUUGCUGAGCAUGUGUUGGAUUACUUCACCAAUUUGUAUGCCUCUAAGAAUGAAACUCACCCGAGCAGCCUCAUUAGCCAGGUCAUUCCUCAUCUGGUCUCUAAAGAUGAUAACAAUAUGCUUUCCUCAAUCCCUUUGAAGGAUGAGAUCAGAAAUGUUGUUUUUGCAAUGAAUGGAGAGGGCGCCCCUGGCCCUGAUGGGUAUGGUGGGUGCUUCUUCCAGGAAUUUUGGGAUAUCAUUGGCCAUGAUGUUUGCCAAUCUGUGAUUCAGUUCUUCACUCAAGGAUGGAUCCUUCCCAAUCUUAACUCCAACAAUAUUGUUUUGAUCCCUAAGUUCCCUGGUGCUGACAAAAUUGAGGACUUUAGACCAAUUGCUUUGGCUAAUUUUCAGUUCAAGAUCAUCACCAAAGUUUUGGCUGACAGGUUGGCUCUCAUAGCUCCAAAGAUUAUCUCUUGCCAGCAGGGGGGCUUCAUCAAAGAUAGACAUAUCCAGGAUUGCAUUGGUAUUGCUUCUGACGCAAUUAACCUCCUGGAUCACAAGACUUUUGGUGGAAACUUAGCAAUAAAGUUGGAUGUUAAAAAAGCUUUUGAUACUAUUGAUUGGAGGUUUCUCAUGGACACCCUCAAGGCAUUUGGCUUUUCGAAUUCCUUCAUCAAUUGGGUAUGGGUGAUCCUGAAUUCAGCUAAGUUAUCAAUUUCUGUUAAUGGUCAAUCUGUGGGCUUUUUCAGUUGCAAGAGAGGGGUUAGACAAGGUGACCCUCUGUCCCCCCUCCUGUUUUGUCUGGUUGAGGAUGUCAUCGGUAGAGGCUUAACUAAUUUGCUAGAGAGGGGGAGAAUUAGCUCAAUCUCUGGCCCAAGGAUUGUCACCCCUAGUCAUGUUCUUUAUGCUGAUGAUAUCCUGAUUUUCUGUAGAGGAAUCAAGAGGGAAUUGGCUGCAAUAAAGGAUUUGUUCACUGACUAUGCUAAAAUAUCUGGCCAAUGCUUAAACCUUUGCAAGUGCAAGUUCUAUUCCACACAAGCUAGUGCCAGAAAUAUCAGCAAUCUCACCAACUGGUUGGGUUUCGGGGCUGGUCAUUUACCCUUUAACUAUCUUGGUGUCCCCUUAUUCAAAGGAAAGCCCAAAGCUAUAUAUUUGCAACCAAUUUCUGACAGAAUUGUCAAUAAGCUUGCCAAAUGGAAAGGUUCCUGCCUCUCAAUUAUGGGUAGAGUUGAACUUGUUAAAUCUAUCAUUCAUAGCAUGUUAGUUUAUAGCUUUCAUGUUUAUAGCUGGCCUGUUAAUUUGCUCAAGAGGAUGGACAAUUGCAUAAGGAACUUCAUCUGGUCUGGGGACACUCAGGUCAAAAAGCUUGUUACUAUUGCCUGGCAUAAAGUUUGUUGCCCUAUCAAAGAGGGUGGUCUUGGCCUUAGAUCAGUUUCAGCUAUGAAUUAAGCUGCAAUUCUUAAACUUGCCUAGGACAUGUCCUCAUCCUCUCAGGAAUGGGCUACCUUCUAUAGGAAGAGAUAUUCUAAAAGGCAAUCCUACACAAAGUCCUCUGUUUGGCCAGGUAUCAAAAAGUGUUGGCAUCUGAUCAAGGAUAAUUCCAUCUGGUUGUUGGGCAAUGGUCAACAUAAACUAUUGGCUGGACAAUUGGUUGGGCUCUUCUCUAGCUGAUCUCCUUCAUAUUCCUCAUCCAAUCUCUUCUACUCUUUUGGCCAAAGUUGCUGACUUCGUGCAGGGUUCCUCUUGGAUUAUUCCCUCUUGGUUGGCUAGGCUUCAUCCUGCAGUUUGUCAGCAAAUAGUCAAUACUCCAAUUCCUACUGCCUCUAUGGAUGACAAACUGGCUUGGUCCCACUCUAUUGAUGGCACCCUGAAUAUGAAAGAGGCUUACAUAUUCACUAAACCUGCUCAACCUCAACUCAAUUGGUGCAAGCAUGUCUGGUCUAUUUCAAUCCCCCCUCAAAAUCCUUUCUUACCUGGAGGCUCUACAAUAACAGAAUGCCAACUGAUGAGAACUUAAAAACUAGAGGCAUGGCUUUGGGAUCCAUUUGCAACUUGUGCUGGACAAGUGAAGAGACCUCUAAUCAUUUGUUCUUCCAUUGCAGUCUUGCUACUGGUAUCUGGAACUGGUUGAGCAACCAAAUUGGUUUUAGAAUAGACAACUCUUUCAUUCAAAAUCUGCUGAAUAUCUCCAACAGGGGGAGCCCUCAAGUGAACCUGGUCCUUAUGGCUAGCAUUAUCAACUCCAUCUCUGUCAUCUGGUCUUGUAGGAACAAAGCUAGAUUUGAAGAUGCAACAAUCUCCUUGGCUCAUGCAAUUGCAAAAAUUAAAAGUGAUACUGCUUUUGCUGGAAAUUUUCUAAGCUUAGUGCCAUGCCGUCCAUGAUUGACUUCUUAAUCCUUAAGGCUUUCAAUGUGAAUUGCAACUUCAACAAGGCCCCUAAAAUCUCUGAGGUUAUCUGGAAUCUCCCAUCUCCUGGUUGGGUGAAAAUUAAUUUGGAUGGUGCUGCUAAAGGCUUUCCUAGGCAUGCAGGGGGAGGUGCCAUCUUUAGAGACAACCAUGGUAGAUGCUUAGCUUGCUUUGCCUCUUACUUCCGUAUUCAAGACUCUCUUUAUGCGGAAGUCCUUGCUGCUAUCUUGGCUAUACAGAUUGCUUAUUCUCAAGGUUGGCAUCUCGUGUGGCUCGAGUGUGACUCAACUUGCGUGGGGGAAAUCUUCAGGGGCAGCUUGGUGGUUCCUUGGAAGCUAAGCAACUUAAUGCUAAAGGGCAGGAGUACUAUGCUGGAAAUGCAAGUUAGAAUAUCUAACAUAUACUGGGAAGGAAAUGUUUGCGCUGAUAAGCUGGCCAAUUAUGGUGUCACCUCUAGGAGUAAUUCUUGGUGGAAUUGUCCCCCUACUUUUAUUUUGCCUGAUUUUAAUAGAAACAGGUUGCUUCUUCCUAAUUAUAGAUUUAGGGAUAUGUAAUGGCUGCCUUGUUUUAAUAUAUUUCUGGGUGUAGUUUCACCCUUGCCCCAAAAAAAAAAGUAAAUUGAUAUGGGAAAACUGAAAAUAUUAAAUUUUAGUUAUUAAAAAAACAUUUUCUACAGUAAAUUUAUAUUUUAUGUAUUCUUAUCAUGUAUCAUAUGAUGUAAAUUACAAAAAGAUAAUUUGAAUAUCAUAAAUUUCUAUGUUUUCAAUAAAACCUAAAAAAAAUUUAACGACCAUUGUAUGUGUAGGCGAUGUUUUGCCAUUAUACUAUCAUAAUAAAAGAAUCCGUCAAUUAUUGAUAAGCUUAUUGAUUAACAUCAACCAUUAUAACCAAAUAUUAGCCAAGAAGAUAAGUUAAUCUCAACUCUCUUCACAGAAGGUCAGUACAAGAUGUGCUAGACUAGGCUUUUCAAAAACUUGUAGGAUUAAUCUUAAUAGUUUCACCUCAUGGGUCAUCAAGAAUUCAAAAGUAUUAAGUGCAAGUCAAGGUUUCAUCUUAGGUUUUUAUUAGGGAUGAAGCUAGAAAUUAUAUGUCUUAGGGCAAAACUUAUAAAUUUGCAAUACACAAAAUGUAACAUUAUUUCCAAUAGUACAAACAUAUGUUGUAAGUCUUCUAUACUAGAUUUCGUAUUUUGGAAACAUCGAAUGAUGUUACCAUUUUUCACAUUCUUCAAGAAUACCUUUCUCUAUAAAAGUAACUAAACAAUCAUUCAAUCAUUUAUCUCCCAUAUGAUUUUGCAUCCACCAAAUUAUAUGCAUAAUAGAUAAAACUCUAUUCAGGAUUGCAAUAAUAUCUUUUGGAUGAUAGUCUAAAUAUUUUGGUAAUAAUAUUUCUUAAGAGUUUAAAAUCAAUGCACUUAUAGUGUAAUGUUUUUACACUUUCAGCAUAUCAUUGACCAUUGAUUUGUAUUAUUUCCGUUUGAGAGUCAAUAAUAAUUAACAAAUCAAUGAUGGAUGUUUUACUGAUAAUGUAAAAUCACACUGUUAAAGUAUAUAUAUUAAAUCCAUUUCUUGAACUCAUCUCUAUCAUUUGGAUGAUAAUAUCCGAAAUCAUUUGCUUUAUACAAAGAUCAUUAGGAAGCCUUGUCAAAUCAAAUCUCACUUUCCUUUUUCAAAGAUGGAUGAAAUAUUGUACUUUUCACCUUCUUUAAGUGCUUUAGGAGAAGAUGAUUCAUUGGGACGUGAUUUUGUUAGGGAAAAAUAUUUCCAUUUCUUAUUCUGGAAAUAGGAUCAUAUAAGUAUAUAACCAUAAUUAAAUAAAUCUCAACAUAACUGAUGGUGAAAUAUAUUAUACUAUAUUAGUAUAUUAUAUAAAUAUGAUUAUAUUAAUACUACUAUACGACUAUGAGUGCAUUUAUUAAUUUUUAUAUAGAGUAUGCCUAUAUAAUAUGAGAAUAAUGGAAUCAUAUAAUAUAUUAUACAUAUUCAUAAGAAAGGAUACAAUGAGCCAAGGAAAGAAGCACAUUGGGAACGAUUUUUUUUUGUCCUACUAGGAUAUCCCUCAUCUUUUGGGUCAGGAACUAAUUCUUUUCCGGAUGUAUGACUGCCCCUUUCAACAAAUGUUACUCCCAGGAAUGAAAUCCUUGCCAUUUUGGUCAUCAUGAAGAUCUAAUGGGGUGUUACACCACUAGAGAAACACCUUGUUGGUCACUAGGCACAAUAUAUAUCCGCUAUUCUACGACCUCUGUAUUGUCCUAAAUAGAAGGAAUGCAUUGGAAGUUGGGGACUACAAGAGGUAAGGGGAGGACAUGGAGUCAAUGUUAGUAUGGUAGCCAUAAGAUUUAUAGGGGUAAUUAUAGAAUAUAGUGGACCUACAUCAUUUCUAAUAGAAGGUUUAGAAAUUUGAGGGUGCACUUGCGCAUGCAUACUCAUCCAUGUAGCUUCAUCUCUACAUAUCACUCAACUUUGAUUCGAGCCCAAAAUUAAAACUCAUAUCAUAGGGCUAAUAGUGAUUAAGAUGAUCCCUAAGGUGAAACCAAAUCGAAACCCACUUGAUUUUAUUCUUCAACCAAUUAUUUAAAUGAGAUCUAGCAUCAAAGGAACAUGGUCGUUAUACAUGUAUGAAGAAACAUGUCUUGCAUCUAUUCCUGGAUAACUAUAUUUGCUUUAAAUUGUAUAUAAAUCAAAAUUAUCAAUCAAGUUUAAUAAUAUUUUUAGCUAAUAGGAAACUUCUAUGAAGAAAUGUAACAGAAUUAGUAUUCCUAAAAUGAUUCAUGAAGAGACUUCUUUGCUAAAGCCUUACUACAUCAACUAUAUAUCAAUUCGUAUUUGAAGCCUAUCCAUAUUUGCAAAAGUCAAAGAAUAAUGAUCUUAUGAGCUCCAGUAAUCACACAUCCUAAAAUAUUGUGUAAGGAUAACUUGUAGAAGUUUGAGCAUAAACCAGCCUAAGAAAUGAAAAAGUUAAAAUUAAUCUCUAUACUAAUAAUUAAUGUUAUUAAAUGUUUUUCAAUAGAUUAAUAUUUGGGAGAUGAUUAAAAUUAGAAUCAUUUAGGAAUGACAAUAUGUUUGGAUGGAUCUGGGUAGUACACCUUCCCCAUUGCUAAGUUUUUGAACCUGCACUCAAACCUGCAUAGAUACCCGUUGCGCCUGCUACCUGCUGGAACUUAGAAAUUAAUAUAAUAAUUGCAAGUAAUUUAUGAAAAUGUGUGUUUGUUUCUUAAAAACUUUUAUAUAAUUUAGGCAAUGAAAAAGAAGAAAAAAAAUAAAAUAAAAUUUAAACACAAUUUAUGUUAGAUUACUAAACGCAACAUAACAUUAUAUCACACAUAUGAGUUAAUAACAUGACAUCACUAUUUAACAACAUAACAAUCUCAUUUAUAUAUUUACAUGAAAUUACAGCUAUGGAGUAACAAUCAAACAUUACAGUUAAAAUUAGCAUGAUAUUACAAUUAUGUCGAUAUAUAUUUAAUUAUAAAGCAAUACAGGGUUUGGGAACUCGUGAAUAUGGUACCUCAUUACCAAGACAUAGACUCAUCCAACAGCAGAUCUGAAAAUCUUUGAUCCCAUUUAAUUAGGGGUCCAAAAACACGGAUCUGGCCCAAACCCAUUAUGGGUCUUAUCCACGGGUACUGGUGGGUCAGGGUACCCAUUUUCAUCCCUAGUAUAAUCUCUUUCAUUCCUGUUCGGGUUAAGAAGUCGUCGCGGUCAUUAGCAUCACCUCUACAAAAUCCUGAUUUAUGGAGAGAGAUCUACCAUCUACUUCUUAUCCUCCAAGAUUAAUAUAUUAAAAUUAACACAAUCCAGUAAUCAAUUUUCAACUCAUAUCUACGUAGUUUUGAUUUCAAUAUUGCACAUAUGAAUAUUUGGGAGCUACUUAAAAUCAUAUUAGAUACUCUAAUUAGACAUUUAAUAAAUAAAUUAUGGGUAUAAACUAACGCAUGCGAUUAGCAACUAUAGUAUUUAAAUAAGGGUCUAAGGAAUGUUAAUACCUUCCUUGUUCCUAGAUGACUCGCCACUCUAAUUUAAUGACCAUAUCUUAUAAACUAACCAUAAAGAUAGUUUUUUACAUUUUAAACUCAAAAAAUGUAAUGAUGACACUAAACCUUUUCGAUGAUGGUGGAAUUCAUUCCUCAUGGGGAAUAUCAUACAACACCAUCUCUACCCAUGUUAUCGACACCUUGCCCUUCUGAGACGAUUAUGAUGUCACGGUAGUCCUUCAUUUAUGUGAAAUAAGAUGCGUUUCUCCAUCUUUUUUCUUUAUUUUGUAAUUUUCAUUUUUAAUAAUACUUAUUAUAAUAAUGAAUGAAAUUAAUUUUUUUAUCAAUAUUAUAAUAAUAUUAAUUAUAAAUGAUUAUUAUUAAAUUGACUAAUAUAUAUUAUUUAUAAAUGAUUAUUAUUAAAUUAUUUAAUAACCAGUGAAAGUAUAAUUAGUAAAUUUUCGCGAUAGUUUUUAUUAAAAAAGUUCUCUUAACAAUAAAUAAUAAAGAUGAUUUAUAAAUAAUAAAAUGAGCCAUUUAUCAUUUAUGCUGUACGAUAAAUUAUUAUAAACUUCAAUUUCAAUAACGGAUAAGUCUUUUAAAAUAAAUUAUAAUUUUAAUAAACUUCAAUUUCGAGACCCAUGAUUAUUAUAAGAAUAAUCAACAAUAUGUAUAUGAAUAAAAUUAGAAUUCAAGUAUAUAAACUUAAGAAAAUAUUUCAUUUCAAAAUUAGGUGUGUAAUGAAAUGAAUAAAAAGUACAACCAAAUAAACAAUUUUCACCAAUAAGAAAAAACAACCAUUCAAUUUUCGAUUUUGGAGUCAAUAGAUGUAGUCUACAAAAACAAAACAAAAUCUAAUUAAAUAAAAUUUUGUCUUUUCAUUUUGUGUUUAAGAAGAUUAACAUGUAAAAUUCUAAACAUUGCGAUGAACAUAAAUCUUAUAUUCUCAAUAUUAUAUAUCAUUAUAUUUGGCACGAAUAUGAAACAACCACCUCAUUAUAUACUACUAUAACUUUUUCUUAAUUUAUUUUAUAUUGGGUUGUUGCUUUUAUUGGUGGCACUGAAACCAUAUUAUACUUGUUAUACAAUAUUUAUGUUCCAUUUCGACCUAAUAACUUUAUUAUCUACUAAUUUUUCAGCCCUUACCCAAUACAAAACCAAGUUCCAAAACACUUUUGGCUCGUAUUAUUUUCAAAGUCAAAUAUAAUAAUGCAUAAAUCAAAGAUAAUUUUAUAUGAAAUCUUUUUUGUUUCUAGGAAGAUCAGUCUCGAGUGAAAGCCAAAGUUACCAAGGUGAUUAGUAUUUCUUAUAUGGUAAAAAAACACUACAAAUAUGAAGCAAAAUCAAAACGAACACUACAAAUAUGAAGCAAAAUCAAAACCCACUUUAAAGUGGAGUAGGGGAAAUGAGGUUUCCACUAGUCUCACCUUAUGUUUCUCUUGCAUUGGCCAUAUUACUCUUCAGUUUGCUAGUCGAAGCACAUUACAUUUACCAUCCAUUAACAACACCUCACUAAAAUCUCUACAAACACAACUCUUCUAAACCAUCGAUUCAUACAAAACCACCCCACUUUCCUGAACUAUUGCAACAUUGUACACCACCACCAUGUCCAGAACAAAUGCACCAUCUUUCACAACCACAAUAUAUAGAACAUAAGCACAUGCACCACCAUCACUCGCCAUAAGAAUCAUUCUUCCCCACCACCAAAUCACAAGUACCCUCAUGACUCGCCUCCACCACCACACCACUAGUACCCUCCUCACUCGCCUCCACCACCAUACCACUAGUACCCUUAUCACCCUCAUCCAAUACAUGAGCACAAGUACUCACAUCACUCUCGUAUACCAUUGGAGCACAAGUACCCUCAUCACUCUCCUCCCCACCUGACCACCACUAAUAAUGGUGUUUAACAAUAUCCACACACAUAUUUUGUACAUAUAUUUUCAUAUAUUUUAUAAUCAUUCACUAUUAUUGUUGAAGCAUCAACAUGUAUUUAGUUGUAAUAUAUAAUCUUAAUAUUUAUUUUUUAAAGGUAGAAAUAAUUUCCAAAUGAGGGGUUAAGAAAUGGUUGUGGUCAUUAGCAUUGCCUCUACCAUCUCCCGAAUUAUCAUGAGUACCAUUUAAUUAUGGGUGGACGUGAUGCUAGUACCUUCCUCAUUUGUAACUGACUCCCGAACUUAGAGUUGUUGUUCAAAAUAACAUAUUAUCCAAUAUGGUUAUAAAAGAGAGUUUUCUAUGCUUUAACCGCAAAAAAUGUAGUCAUAAAUCCAAAUAUAUUGUGAGUUUGAUAUUGAGUUCAUCUCUAACUAAGUCAUAGAGUCGAUUUCCAACAGAAAUUUUGAUUACAACAAAUAUUAAUCUCUCAUAUGAUGAUAUGUCUAGGUAUCGAUAUGCAUAAUAAAGAAAACUCUCCCAACAAUUAUAGUAAUAUCUCUUGAAUGAUAAUCUAAAAGCUCUCUCAAUAAUAUCUCUUGAAAUCAUCUCUAUUACUAGGAUGAUAAUAUGAAUUAUUUUCCUUUAAUGUAGGAUCAUUGGCAACCCUUUUCAAAUGAAUUCCUAAAUCUUUUUUUACAAUAGACACAAUGUUCUACUUCCAUAUUCAUUAAUAAUGUGAAGAAGAGACUUUUCUGGACUCUAGCUAGGUUUUGAUGAAUACACAAACAUCAAUUAAUAGAAGAAAAAGGUUGAAGACCUUGAAGUAUUCAAAACACAAGUUCAUAGAUAAGAUUUAAAUUUAUUUCUAGUAUAGGUCUUACCUUUUUAGCCAUUCUUACUUUGAUAUCACAAAAAGCUCUUGAAUUUCUUUUUACAAAGUUUUAAAAUAAUGAAAAUGAGUUACAAUGUCCUAACAAGAAGUUUUUAGAAAACUAAGUAACAUGUUACUUGGAAAAGAGUAAUGUCUUACUUGGAAAAGAGUAAUAUGUUUUGUACCUUCAACCAACACAUACCGAAAUGAACUAGUACCUUCCCAAAUGUUUUGUUCCUCGUAGAGUGGAACUUGGAGCCCUGGUAAACUUUAUAAGUAUCAUCCUUAACAUCUGAAAUAAACAACUUUCACACAAUAAAUUUACACACCUUUGUAAUCAAUCCUUCUAUGCUUUUCAGAAAGUAUCCUGAGAAUUGUAAACACUUUUGAAGUUUAUGAAAAACCAAGAGCAAUGUAUGAUAUUCAGUUAGAGUGUUCUUAUUAAGGAUUCAUACAUCAAUUAGAUUGUGUUUACCAAUCCUCAGUCUUAUCAAAACUAUUCUUCUAAUUCUCGAAUCUAAGAUCACCAUAGGAAUUGGAAAGCGUUUUUGUAAACAAGAAAGUGAUGUGUUUUGGUAUAGGGACUUGAGUGUUCUAAGAGAAUAGUCUUAGUGUGACACUUGUAACAAAAACUCUAAUUGAUAUAGUACAAAUCCCUUGAAUCAAGUAAAGAGAGUUAGACGUAGCAUUCAGUUGAAGAAUGUAAACUAAUAUAUAUCGUUCUGUGAUUCUCUCAAGCCCUCACUCAUUAAAUUUCUAUGUUUUGUUCUUCAUAAUUUGCUUCUCUCAAAAUUUAGAGUUUUUUUUUCAAAUAGAACAAUUUUGGUGCAAGCCUAAUUUGCUGUCGUGUUCGAUUGCUAUAUUGUGCUUACAAAUUUUGGUGCAAACCUAGUUUAAUAACGAUAUAUUCCAAAUUGAGAAUAAAAAGUGUUUUAUAUGUUUUGUACAAAAAUCCAUAGUGACGACUCUAAAUAAUUACGCGGAUGGUACCAUUCCUUUCUACAUCCACCUUAGUCAUGGAAUGGAUGAUCCAUAGAAAAUUAGUUCACGAGAAUCACUACACGUCUCACCCGCAUAUGUGCUUUACACGUGUUCCCACACAAUUCAACUGCCAUAUUUAUGUAGUUCUCCUUUUGGCCAACCGGAUGUAAUUUGUGUGGAAUUAUGUGCAAUUAUGUGCAAUGUUGCUUGUGGUCCUAUCAUGAACAUGGUCCCUGUACCUAAUCGUGCAUAACCAAUUUGUCAUAUUGGUUCUGACACAACUCUCACGCCUCUAUAGUCCAUUUUUGUGCACUAAAAUAUGUUCCCCCAUCUUCUUUGUUCAAUUUCUAAUUUCCAUUUUAGUAAUAAUUAUUAUUAUAAGGAUUAAAUAGGUAUAAAUAAUAAUAAGUUUAAAAUUAUACUAGUAAUAUUAGUAUAAAUUUAUUAAUUUAUUAAUAAUUAAAUGAUAAUUAUUAAAUUAUUCAAAUUAUAGUUGGUGUAUUUUUGUGAUACUUGUUAUGCAAAUAUAUUCUUAAUAAUAAAUAAUAAAUCGAUACUUAUAAAUAAUAAAACCACUUCUUUAUCAUUUCUUAUACCUAAUAAAUAGUAAUAAGUUUCAACUCAAAUAAAGGCUAUCUCUUUAAAAUAAAUUAUAAUAAAGAUGAAAGAAAUAUCAUAGUUUGACUUAUUUUCAUCGAUAAUCUUUUAAAUGGUCAUGAUACAUCUAUUAUGUUCAGUAAUAUUAAAAUCUCAAUUAAAUUAAAAAUGAAAUAAUUAAUAAAAUGUUUUGAAAUUAUUAAGAAAUGCAAUAAUGAAUUUAAUGUUAGUAUAUUAUUAUAAUAUGGAAAGGAUAUAUAUAAUGUGUGAUUGUACACAUAAAGUUGGUGGAACCAUUUUGGAGGAAAAAAGAAUGAGAAGCUGACAUAUAACAAUAUAUGACGUGAAAUGACAUUUUUUUAUUAUGUAGUUAUUUUUUAAAACAAAGAAUAAUUUUAUUGCCAAAAAAUACAUUUAAGUACAACCUAUCAACAAAUCCAAGAAAAGUCCCAAAAAGGCUAGACUAAGAACAUGAUUCAUCUAGAGUCUAGAGAAUUACAAUAAAGUUUAACUUUAGCAUUGAUCUCAGCCCUAUUACAUAUGAUAUAUACAAUGGAUUGGCCAAUAUUUGCAUUAAUAGGACUUCCUUAGAAAAUAUGUAGGUUUCUCAUAUUCUAGAUUUCAUAUAUAGUCUUAGCAAAUGAACAUUUUAUCACUCUGCCUCUGGUGCCCUUUCUUUUUGUUUGUUGUGCAAUCCAUACCAUUUCUCCUAGCCAGCUUCUCGGGUUAUUAAUAGACUAAAGAAUCAUUCAACCAUUUAUCUCCUAUAUCAUUUCACAUCUAAUUUAUUUUAUGCAUAAUACAAAAAACUCUCUCCACGGUUGUAGUAAUAUCUCUUGGAUAAUAAUUUGGAAACUCUCUCAAUAAUAUCUCAUAAAUUCAUCUCUAUCAUAUGGAUGAUAAUCUGAAAUCUUUUGCCUUAAACAAAGAUCAUUAGUAAGCCUUUUCAUAUGAAAUUCCAUAAUCCUUUAUUAAAAUAUGGAUGCAAUAUUGUACUUUCAAAUUCGAUAACUUCUUGAGUAGAAGAUGACUUAUUUGGAGGUAAUUUUAUUUAUGAAAAUAUUUCUAUUGGUUAGUCUACAAAUAUGAUAAUUAUAAGUAUAUAACCAAAAAUAAAUAAAUCUCAAUAUAACCGGUCGUUAAAUAAUUGGAAGGAAGACAAGGAGGUUGGGGACCACAAGAGGUAAGGGUAGGACUAGGGGUAAAGGGGAGUAAGGUGACCACAAGAUUUUCGGGGGUAAUUAUUCAAAAAGUGGACCUACAUAUAUCAUUAUCUUUGCACCUCUAUGGCCACACUUUAAACACACUAUAUAUAUAUAUAUAUAUCAUUUAUAAUAGAAAGUCAAAAUUUUGUGAGUGCACUUGCAUGCACAAUGAUCCAUGUAGUUUUCCUCUAGAUAUCACUCAAAUGUGAUUCUAGCCAAAAGUUACAACUGAUAUCAUAUGUCUAAAUGUGAUUAUGAAGCUCCCUUGUGAAGUCAAAUUAAAAUGUACUCGAUCUUAUUCUUCAACCAAGUAUUAAAAUGACAUCUACCAUCAAACAAAAUUGAAACAAACACUGUCGUUACUCGAAAUAUGUCUUGCAUGUAUUCUUGGAGGGUCAUAUUUAUUUGAAUAUGAAUCAAAACUUAUCAAUCAAGUUUUACUUUUUAUCUAAAAUGAAACGUGUGAGAAGAAAGGUAAGAUAAUUAAUAUGCCUAAAAUAUUAUUUGAAGAGAUGUCUUUGCCAAAAUCAGACGAAAAAAUUGUAAGAGAUUAAUGCCUAAAAUUUUUAGAGUGACAUUUAAAAUAGCAUUUAAAAUAAAGCAACAUUGUAAGUUUCCAAAACAUGGAAAACUCAUAGGAAAAUUUAUGAAUAUGUAUGUUGGAUUUCAAUCUAUUUUAAACAUUGGUUAUUGUAGUACAUUAUUAUCAAUGUAUAAUGUUUUAGAUGAUUUACGUGUUGUAAGGGUUAUGUGCAUCUUAUACACACAUUAGUAGCUAUUAUGUUUGUUAUAAAAAAUGAGAAAAAUAUGUAUGUAUUGACAGUGUAUAAGUUUUAUAUAUUAUCAUUGCAUCAAGUACUAUUGAUAUUUAAUUAUUGUUGACAUUUCAAAAAAGUAAUCAAAAUAAAUAGUGAAUGAUAGAUUGCAUGUGUAAAAAUCUUUACAUUGUUAGUGUAUAAGUGACACUCUAAAAACAUAUUAUAUUUUUAAGGGUUUUGUUAAUGUAUGCCACGUGGCUUAAGGAUGCAAAACUAUGUUAAUUGUUAGGGGGAAACUAAAAAUAUUACUUUUUAAAUAUUAAACCUACAUUUUCUAAUGUAAAUUUUUUUAAGUUUUCUUAACAUGUAUCAUUGGAGGUAAAAUACAAAAACACUUUUUUUAUUGUCAUAAAUUUUUGUAUCAUCCACAAAAUCUAAAAUUCUUGAACCCACCACGCUUUGUAUAGGCGGUGUUUAGCUAUUUUACCAUCAUAAUAACAUAAUCCUUCACGUAUUCGGAGGACAUGUAUAUAUAUUAUUUUUAUUUGAACCUCUAGGCCCAAACUUAACACACACCCAUAUAUGAUAUCAAUAUAUAAUUUAUAAAAUAAGGUUCAGAAAUUUGUAGGUGGACUUGCACUCAUACUCAUCCAUGUAGAUUCGUCUCAAAAUAUCACUAAAAUUUGAUUCUAGCCAAAAUUUAUAACUAAUAUUAUAGGGCUAAAUGUUAUUAUGAAGCUCCCUUAAAGUGAAGCUAAAUAAAAAUAUACUCAAGUGGAUAUAUUAUGAAGCAGAAGUGGAAAAAAAUGCUACAUGUUUUAAAAUGGCUUUUAUUAUGAAGCAGAAGUGGAAAAAGUGAUGAAUAAUUAGUUGUUAAAAAUAAAUAAAUAAAUAAAGAACAAAAGAAUAAUAAAAUUAAGUGACCUUUAUUUAUUUACUCCCUUUCGGGAUCUUUUUACUAACAAACCAAACUUCUUCCUUAAGGAAUGUUGGUAUUAAAGAAUAAAUAAAUUUUGGAAUGUAAAUAACAAUAAAUAAAAGUGAGUAAGUUAGCUUCAUCACUUUUGUAUAUUAAAAGGUAUUUCAACAAAUAAAUUUAUUGAUAACACUUUAAUAUUUUAUAAUUUACACCUCUUUCAAGAUUCAAUUGUAGUAUAGUAUAGAGUUAUGUCGAACCACAAGGAAUUGCCUAAUAGAAUGAAUCAUAUGAACAUGUCAAUGCACAAAUAAUGAGUAAACAUAUGAACACCUCUUACAUGCAUGGUGACACCUCCGCCUUCUUGUCAUAACCUUAUGUCAUCUAUGACGUCAUGUUCUUGGCCUUCAAGCAAAGAAAAAGUAGGAUGUUCCAUGAAUUGACCUAGCAAUCAUUUUUCUGGUGGGCCAGGCGCUCAGCUACCUGCUUCAACAGCUUGGCUGACCUGGUCCCACACCCAGCUGCCUGCUUCAGCAACUUGGCUGACCUGGUCCCACGCUCAGCUGCCUGCUUGAGCAACCUGCCUGACCUGGUCCGGUGCUUGGUACUUGGCUGGCCUAGUGCUUGGCUGACCUGGCCUGGUGCUUGGCUUGGCUGGACAACUUUGUUCUUGAUUUCUUCAAGGUGAAGCAACCUUUUUUCUUUGGUUUGUUACUUGAUUUUUUUUGGUCGCUUGGCAAUUUUGGGAUAUUUUAUUUAAGUUAAGGUAAGCAUUUAAUUUUUGCAAGUUGCUUGGCCUAUCUUAACUUAGGUUUCUUCAAGACGAAGUAAGUUACCUUUCUUCAAGGCUAAGUAACCAAAUUAAGCACAUAGCAUGCCAUGCUUUAACUUGACUACUUUUAGCAAUUCAUUUUGAGCUUUUGUCUUGAAUUUUGGCUGAAUUCUAAUCCAUCUUUGAAUUUAUUCUUUAAUAUUCAAUUUCCUACAAAACUCAAAGAAAACUUGGACAAGAAUUAAUAAAGAACUAAUUUAUUCAAUCAUGCAAAAUUCACCUAAAAAAGUUUUAAUUUAAGUUGGUUUUCUACAAUUUGCAUAGGAUAAGUGCCAUAAAAUGAUGGUGAUAAUUGUAUACGUUUUGCACUUAUCACCCAUCCUCAAAGAUAAGUUAAAGAGAACUUGAAGAAUUUUGAGCAUAGAAAAGCCUAUCAAUUGAAGAAAUUAAAACAGGCUCAUUUGUAAUAUAAGAUAUUAUUUAAAAUUUAACUCUUUAAUAGAAAUUAAUAUUAUUAAGUAUUUUUAAUUAGAUUGAUGAUUGGAAGAAUGGUUGUAAUUAGUAUCAUCUAAGAAUGACAAUAGGUCUAGAUAUGCUUGGAUAGUAAAGUACUCGUGCCAACCUCACUGUUAUUUUUUGGACCCGUGUGGAUACCCACUGGGUCUCCAACCCGCAGAUGUCCAGAAAUUAUAAAUUUAUAAAAAUAAUGGCAAGUAACAUUUAAAUUUAUAGAGCUAGUGAAGAAGAUAAAAAAAUAAAAAAAAUAAUGAUAUAUAUUUUAAACACAUUUAAAUUGAUUGCUAAACGCAACUACAUUAACUCAAACAAACAUAAAAAUAAAAUCACUACUUCAGCAUCAUGGUGGAAAAUAGUUGACUAAGAACCUUUUCAUCAACAUUUGCAUACAUCACACAUAUGGACUAAUAACAUAAUUAAUCGCUUAGAGACGAUGGAAUUAAUAGCCUAGAGAAAAUGUUGGUCGUAGACAUUUUUCCCAUUUUCAGAGAAGUUAGAGACGACUCGAACCUGACCUUACUAUAAAAAUUCCAAAAUAUAAUUAGGUGAUAAAAUAGUUUUUAAUUAUUUUUUGUAUGAAAUUAAUAGCUUAGAGAUGGUGUUGGUCGUAGACCUUCUUCCCGUUUUCAGAGAAGUUAGAGACGACUAGAACCAUGACCUUAUUAUAAAAAUUCAAUUUCUUAGAUAUUUCAAAUUAAAAGGAUGAUUAGGGUAUUUACUUUAAGAUUAAAGAAAUAGAAUUUCUAAUUUUAUUUCUAUCCAAUGUAGUAUAUAAACAAAGUAAUAAAAUAAAUUAACAGGCUUUGAGACUCCUCUCAAGUAAUUGAGAGACAAGUGACUUUUUCCUUUAUAUUUUAAGGGUAAAAGUGUAAUAUCAUUUUAAAUAAAAGGAGAGAGGGUUUGAAAUUCCUAAAUUGGCUAACCUCUCCUUUUCUAUAAGCAGCAAUAGCGGUUCAGGCGCACAGUCUUCGCGGUCAUGCCGUGGAAGAGCAAUGAUGCUCUAAGACAGUUUUAAGCGUACCAACUAAAACGAAGGUUUUAACACCAUGUGGAACGGCUACGAAGCCGUCUUCUCCAUUCUCCUCACCUUGUUUGGGGUUCAUUUCCGACCAAGCCAUUCGGUUCCUUGUGUGGACAGCUUCCACGAUGGGGAUGACUAUGUUUGUCUCCCCUUCUCAUGUUAAGCCAAACCGGUCCAGGCUUUCAAAGGACAUAGAGAUGUCUUUCAAGAUGUUUCGGUCACCGCAUCGGGGCGGCAAGCGGUGCUGCAUGGACGUGUGAUGCUGUCGUGGUACUAUUCUUUUUUUAACGAGUAAUUGUCCAUUUCAUGAUUGGUUUCAUGAUUAUAUCAUGAGUUCGUUAUUACUCUUUACUUUUGAUAUAAUAAUACUAUUCAAUUUUGAGUAGUUCUAUAUUAAUUUUACAAAUGAAAAGCUAUAACAACACUUUAAUCAAGUUCGAUAAUUCUGACACAAUUUGUCAUCCAGAUAUUGAUAUUUAUUUUUUCCUUGAUAUAUUUUAUCAUGGUUCAAUUCUUGCAACAUGUUUUUAAAAUGGAACAAGAAGAAUAUACCCAAGAAGAGAUCAAUUGGAGUUAUAUAGUUUGUUGACAACCAAGAUGUUUUGGAUCUAAUUGAGAAAGUAUUUACUAUUGCUUAAUGCAUUGUUAGUUUCUUUUAUGUCUGCCGCACUCUAAAGCCUGUGAUUUGUUUAUAACCAAUUAUAUGUAUAAAACUCAGUUUGUUCUCUUUUUUAAGAAAAUGCACAGCUUUUCAAAUAGUAAUGAAGUAUAAUGUGCUCUUUAGUCGUACAAAUUCUCUCAUUUUCCUACAAGGAACACAGAUACAUACUAUUUUAUUAUUCAAUCUUCGCAUAAACUAGGUGGAAUAAUUGCACUUCUUGAUGAAGCCUGGUAUGGGACCAAUAGAAACUUCACUAUUUAUCAAACAUUGCUAAGUUAUAGAGAAUGGUCUUUUGCAUAAUCACUUGAUUUUUGUUAGUUUUAUAAUUGUAUGUUACUUGUACAAAGAAAGGACAUGUGCGUUGUAUGGGAAAGAUGUCGAAAUAAAAAAGUGAAGGUUUAUUUGUCCGAAAAUCAAGAGUUACGGAAUACGGUUAAGCAUAUAGAAAGUAUGAUGUCAAAUAUGAUGUCAUUUAUUUAAAGUCGAUUUUCUAGAGGAAAUGUUGAUGACAUGAUAGAAGUUGCAAAAAAGGUGUACUAUAUUCCCCUCAAAUUUAUUUUUCCAAGCUCAUGUUAUAUUUGUAUCAAUUUUAUGAACUGAUUGAGAUUGCUUAAUAUGUCUACUAAAGUUAAUCCCUAAUUUGUUCUUUUAUGAACUCGUCUGCUAUAGUCCAGUAACUUCAAUUCUCAUACAUAGAAGAAACACUAUGACAUACUGAUAUAUAUGUGUUUGGUAAUUGUUAUUGAGUUGACUAUUUUGAUUUAUGUGCAUUGGAUAUUUGUCAUUGAGUUGAUUAUGUGAGUAUAUAAGUAUAUAUGGUACGUUGAGUUAAGGACAUUGUAAGGUAUCAGUGUCCUAGACACACCUAGAGGGGGGGUUGAAUAGGUGUAGCGGUUAUCAAUUACCACUUCUCGCACCCAAAUCCAGUUCUGGAAAACAACAUAGUUAAUCGAUUAACCAGUGGGCACAACUUGCACAAAUGGAUUUUUAUCCUGGUUCGUUUGCGGUCCACUACAAACUACAUCCAGGCCUUCCCUUCUGAUCUUGGGAUAUUUUCUUCUUCAAUAUAUUGAACACCAGUAUAAUCGGAUACACCAAUUCAAUUUACAAGACUCAAUAUGCUUCUUUCUUGAAUUCCUAGAACCUCUAAUCCUUGGUUUGACGAUCCCUAUCGCCUGAGAAAACCUUUCUCGUGAUCCAGCCCCAGCCAAGAUCCUCGUUCUCAAUUCAAGACCUCCUAGCCUUGGUGAAGAAUAUCUCUAUCUCAAUGGUGGUAAGACACCAAGAGACUAACCCAAAGUACAAAAAUAGUUUACAAAAACAAGGUUUACCAAGCACUUAAAAUUCUCAAAUUAUAACUGUGAAAAACCUCAAAGAUUAACCCAGUCUCAAGUAACACAAGUCAUCAUGCAUGUGUAAGUUAAUACAAAACAGUAAACUCAGAAUAUUUCUCUAACAAUCUCUAUCAAGAAUGCAUGAACAUGUAAGAAAGAAUAGAUGAGAUUAAGCAUAUGAAAACAACAUGCAAUACACUAUGAACAACUUUAAAAAAGUAUGUUAAUCUCUCUUCCUCACACAUGCAUCUCUCUCUGCAAAUUACAAAGUAAAACACGAAAAUAUACUUUCUAAUCAAUUCUAAACAAUAGUAUGCAAUUCUACACGUUUCUGCAAUUUGACUAAACUUAUACAAAGCAGAUUUGACCCUUCAAAUCGUUGCAAUCAAUUAAGCAGUUAAAACAGAAAACAGUUGAGUUAAUCGAUUAAGUCACCAUGUUAAUCGAUUAACCAACAUAUUAAACACGUGAUUAAAAAGGCAAAUUACUCAUAUGUUAUGAUUAACUCAUAUGCAUGUUUUAGAAAUUAUAUUAUGCAUAAUAUGCAGAUAUAACAUGUAUGAAUAAUGGAUGAACAUACAAUAAACUAGAUGAUAUGUCUCAUGAAUAUGAUAUGACAAUUAAAAUGGCUUGUGAGACUUGCAUCUAGGUUUACCUAACCUAUACUCACUCACUAAGGCGCACAUCUCAUACUACUUAGAAAUAUGACUCUAUUGAUAUGACAUAGUCUAGAUAUGACCAAUGAGUUCUAGGCAUGUUGAUUGUUGAGCCAUCUUCAAGCUUUAAUAAAACCUUGUCUUCAACAAAACAUAAGCAAAGCAUUGCUAGUGCAAUCCUUGACACUUUGCACUUUCAAUCUCCCACUUUUUGAUGAUGACAAAGACCACAUCAAAAAGUACGCUACAUUUGAUGAAUUAGAUUGACGAUGUAGUACAUUUGCAUAAUGGUUGUGAAUUCAAAGUUGGCGCUUUGCUAUCCCCCUUAUGUAUGCAAUGAUUAAAACACAUAAGCUUUUAUGACAACCUGCAAAUAACAUCAAACACAACAAGCAACCUUUCUCCCCCUUUUGACAUUAUCAAAAAGACACAAAUAUUCAAUUCUAGUCAAAAGUCAGAAGAGUUAUUAGGGUUAUGACAUACUGUAAUUAGUCAAUUAAUUUUGGGUGAUUAAUUAAUCAACGAGUUGUAAGAAAAUUGAACAAAUGCUCAUUUAUACAUGAUUUAAUUGAUUAACAGCAGAGCAUAAUCGACUAAAUGGACAACAAACAACAACAUAACUGAUUUAAUGGCUUUUACGUUACAAUUGAUGAAUAAUGGUUCCGAAUUCAAAGUUGAAGCGCUUUGCUCUCCCCUUAAGUAAGCAAUGAUUAAGACACGCAAGCUUUUAUAACAACCUGCAAAUAACAUCACACACAACAAGCAACCUUUCUCCCCCUUUUGACAUUAUCAAAAAGAUACAAAUAUUCAAUUCUAGUCAAAAGUCAGAAGAGUUAUUUGGGUUAUUACAGACUGUAAUUAAUCAAUUAAUUAUGGGUGUUUAAUUAAUCAACCACUUGUAAGAAACUUGAACACAUGCUCAUUUAUACAUCAUUUAAUCGAUUAACAUCAAAGCUUAAUCGAUUAAAUGGACAACAAACAACAACAAAACUGAUUUAAUGGCAUGAAAGGCUAUGUUAAAUCAGAUUAAGCAUGAAAUGAUUAAGCAGUGAUAUAAUUGGACACUAAGCAGCAGGCUUAAUCACUCAAUAUGGAUACAUACACCAAACAUGAUCAAGAUCCAUUAAACAUAAAUUUAUACUAUUUGCGACAUAGUUAACCAUAUAAGCAUGAGAAAGACAAUUUGAAAUCAUUAAAGCAUUGUUUCAAUUGCAACUCACCAAUGCAAGUUUAGCAGAAGAUAAGUAUUUAGGCUGUUACAAUUCAAAUAUGCAAAAGAAAAAAUAGAAAUUAAGUUCUCAAGAUGGAAACAAGGAACAUCAUAGUCCAUAAACUAGGAAGGAUAAACCUAUGGUUCUAAGGUUUCCUAUCUAGGAAUGAGAUGAAGGGUUUUUUGUCGUCAUUAAUGAUCGAGGUACCACCACCCUUGAUGAGGGUUCACAACUUGUUGAACUCGGCACACAACCUCCUAUUUUGUCAAUCAGUAGUUGUCUGAACGAAGUUCCUCAAGGACUGAUAAUGGUGGUCAAUGUAGGCAUUCUGACGCUCCUGAAAAUUCUCCAAAUCCGUAUGGUAUGAAUCCUUUAGAGACUGAAAGUGAAGAUCCAUCUUGUUGUUCAUAUGUUGUUCCAUAGCAUCUAGGUAAGCUUGUUCAAAUACUGGUUCUUGUGAUGCAUGUUCAGAAGACUCUCCAUGAGUAGUAGCAUUUGGCUCUUGAGUUUCAUCUUGAUCAUCCUCACCAGAGGGGUCAAGAUUCACUGUAUUGUAAUCCUCCUGAUGUUGCCAUGUGUUGCCAUACUUAUAGAUGCCCAUCUUGUGAAUCAAACUCUCACCAAUCAAAUGAUCCUUAUCAGAACAUUCCACAACUAUAGUAUCCGAAAUAUCAAUAUGCAAAUAGUCAAUAAUGCGUGAAAUGAAAAUACAAUAGGGAAGCAGCUUUGAUUGUGAUGUAGAGACACUAUACAUAACCUUCAGAAUCUCUUCAAGCCAGUUGAUCAUCACAUUCUCCUUGAAGGAAAAGAUGAACCUCAAAUCAUUCACGGUAGGUUGUGCAUGAUUUGUGUUCCUCCGAAUUAGAAUAUAAGCAAUCAGAUAAGGCAGGUGUCUAUUCUCUAUGGACAAUGACCCAGCUUUUGUUAAUUCACCCCAAACAUACAACUGAGGUCUCCUCAAACAUGAUUUGUACAUUUUAGUAGCAUCAAAAGUGUUGUUGUUUGCCCAACCACAAUCUCCUACAUUAGCACCAUUACACGAUAAACCAUCCACAUUCAUGAAUAUAUUCUCAUUCAUCUCAACGAAUUUUCCAGUAAUCAUAGACCAAUACUUACCAUCCUUGUAUCUAAAGUUAGCAUAACAUUCCCUAACUAGAGCAGGGUAGAUAUUACCUUUCAAUUCCAAAAAGGGGGCAGCCCCUUGCGCUUUCAAACCAUACGAAAAAUCGAAGUUCUAUUCCACUAACUAGGUUAGGUUUGCAAACCUUAUGUAUGUCGGUUUCCUUCCCUGAAACAUAAGCAACAGAGUUUCUUAUAGAAUCAACGAAUAAUACGGGUCCCCACGGUCCUACCUUGCUCGUUGACUUGAUGGCACAGGUCUUGGAGCACAUGGUGGACGUUGAGCGGUUGUCUUCACCCUUUUUGCACAUCCUCUCUCCAUUUAGCUGAAAAACCAUACUGUAUUGAAGGUUCAAUGGAGGGUUUCACAGAAAAACCUAACUCAGGGUUUUGAAUUUGGGGGAAACCGAAUUUCUUGGAAAUUAGUGGUGGAGAAGAAGGUUUAUGGAGUGGAAAUGGGGUUGGUGUAUUCGACUUCAGGCUAGGUUAGAGUGUAGGGAUGAUGUUGAACUUGUUCCUUUGAGAUUUGAGAGAAAAGAGGAUGAUGGAGGUUUUGAAAAAUGUCCAGAAACGCUCCUGUUUAUGUUAUACUUGUGUCGUUAAUCGAUUAAAUUCUAAUCUUAAUCGAUUAACCUGAGUUAAAAAAUUACAGGUUUAAAAGGUUGCACCCAGGUAAUCGAUUAACAUAAUCCCUUAAUCGAUUAAAUAACAUCAGAUACAUCAUUUUGGAUGUUUUUAAAUGCAUGCAAGGAUUUCAAAUUUUGAAAAAUGCAAUAUUGACCAGUCACAUAUAUACACAGAGCUUAUUUAUAGAACCAUGGAUCACACAAGGAAUAUCUAGUAUUCCACAUAUUUUUAUUUUGUAACAUACAAGGCAAAUAAUCAUGCAAGGCAAUAACAUAAGGUCAAUCAAGAUAUUUUUUAUCAAGGAUUCCUAGUUCUCUUCGAAGAACAUAGAAGGUAUCUCGUGAGAGGGGUUUGGUGAAAAUAUCCGCUAAUUACUUUGAUAUUUCUACAAAUUCUAGCACACAAUCACCUUUUUGAACACGAUCACGCUAAAAAUGAUGCCUUAUUUCUAUAUGCUUGGUUCUUGAAUGCAAAAUGGGAUUCUUGGAAAGGUUGAUGGCACUUGUAUUAUCACACUUAAUGGGGAUAUUUUCUAGUUUAAGCCCACAGUCCUUAAGUUGUUGCUUCAUCCAAAGGAUUUGAGAGCAACACACGCUAGCGGCAAUGUAUUCCGCUUUUGCGGUGCACAAAGCAACCCAUGCUUGCUUUUUGCUAUUCCAUGUUGUUAGGUAUCAGUGGUCUAGGAACACCUAGAAGGAGGGGUUGAAUAGGUGUAGCGGUUCACAAUUACCGCUUCUUGAUCAAAAGCCCAACUGCUGGAAAAACAGUCCAGUUAUUCGAUUAACAAUAGGGUUUAAUCGAUUAACUAUUGUACAUAACAAAAUGACUAAACAGGCAAAUUGCACAGUGAUUAAAACAUAAUUGAACAGAUAUAUUUCAGAUAUUUUUAUGCACAAAUAUUAAGUAUAUGCCAGUAAACAAAUAUCCCACUUUUCAAUUACAGAUUCAAUUUAUCAUGGCAAGAAACAUAAGGAAGAUAAAGAGAGAAAGAAUAGUGCAAAAAGGAUUUUUAUCCUGCUUCGUCUGCGGUCUACCACAAACUACAUCCAGGCCUCCCCUUCUGGAUCAGGGAGAUUUUCUUUCUUCACAAUAUUGAAUUAAGGAUACAAAUACCAAUUCAAUUACAAGCACAUAGGACGCUCCCUUCUUGAAAUCUAGGAUCUCUAAAACCUGGUUUGACUCUAGCCUUUCACCUCUUGAGAAAACCUUUCUCGCGAACUAGCCCCAGCCAAGAAUCUUAUCCUCAAAUCAAGACCUCCCUGCCUUGGUGAAGAACUUAAAUCUCUAUGGUGAUCUCACACCAAGAGACAAAUCCAGACUAUACAAAAAAACAUUAAAUAGCAAGGUAUACUAAGCACAAAAUUGCUUAAAAUAUUACAAGAUAAAGACUCAAAGAUUAACCCUUAUUCUAAUCACUUAAGCCAUCAAUAUAGGAGUGAGUUAAUCAAUAGCAAUAUACAAAUGAUUUCUUUCUAUCAAAAUCUAAUGCAUGAUCAUGUGAGCAAUAUAAGAAUGGAUAUGAAACUAUGCUAAAACAGAAAGCAUGUUAUAGCAGAAACAACAUAAUUUCUCUUCUCACACAUGCAACUCNNNNNNNNNNNNNNNNNNNNNNNNNNNNNNNNNNNNNNNNNNNNNNNNNNNNNNNNNNNNNNNNNNNNNNNNNNNNNNNNNNNNNNNNNNNNNNNNNNNNUUCAUCCGUUGCAAAAACAGUUAAACAAUUAAGCAGUUACAACAGCAAAAACAGAUUUCAGUUACAACACAUAACAGACUAGUUAAUCGAUUAAGACUUCCAUUUAAUCGAUUAACGGGCCAACAGAAUGACACAAAAAUAAGUUAAAACAGAAAACACAUAUUCAACAGAAAAUCAGUAACAUUUAUGCAUAUGUUUUAAAUGGAAAACUUCUCAUAUGUUAUGCACAAUAAACAUACAUGCUUUACCAAUUAUAAUAUGCCUAAUAUAUACAUAUAACAUGUAUGAUAGAUGCAUGAACAUACAAUUAACUAGAUGAUGUAUCUCAUGAAUAUGAUAGUUCAAUUAAGAUGGCUUAAGAGACUAGCAUCUAGGUUUACCUAACCUAUACUCAAUUACUACGGCACACAUCCCAGACUACUUAGAUUAUAGACUCAAUUUAUAUCCUAGUCUAGACAUGACCAAAUGAGCAUAAGGCCUAUUGAUUGUUGAGCCAUCUUCAAGCUNNNNNNNNNNNNNNNNNNNNNNNNNNNNNNNNNNNNNNNNNNNNNNNNNNNNNNNNNNNNNNNNNNNNNNNNNNNNNNNNNNNNNNNNNNNNNNNNNNNNGAAAUAGCCUUGAUUGAGAGACUGAGACGCUAUACAUGACCUUUAAAAUUUCAUCAGGCCAGUUUAUCAUGAUGUUCUCCUUCACAGCAGACAUAAACCUCAAAUCAUUCACGGUGGGUUGUGCAUGAUUUGUGUUUCUCUGAAUCAGUAUAUCGGCAAUCAAGUAGUGUAGGAGUCGGUUUUCAACGGACAAUGACCCAGCUUUGGUCAAUUCGCCUUGGACAUAAAGUUGAGGUCUACGCAAACAUGACUUUUACAUUUCAAUAGCAUCGAAUGAGUUGUCGUUUGCCCAACCACAAUCACUUAGACUAGCACUAGAAAAAGCUAAACCACCAACAUUCAUAAAAAUUUCUUCGUUAAUCUCAAACAGUUUUCCAGCUAUCAUAGACCAAUAUUUCUCAUCUUUGUAUCUAAAAUUUGCGUAAUACUCCCUAACUAGAGCAGGGUAAAUAUUACCUUUCAAUUCCAAGAAGGGGACAGCCCCUUGAGCUUGUAAACCAUGAGGAAAUUCAAACCGGAUAUAGGUGGGUUUUCUUCCUUGAAAUUUUUGCAACCGGGUUUCUUGUAGAAUUAGAGAAUAAUAUGGGUCCCCGCGGUUCUGCCUUGGGUAUGGAGGAAGCACUGCUUUUGGAGCACGCGGAGGAUGUUGUGCAGUUGUCUUGAUUCUCUUUCCACGUCCUUUAUCCAUAGUAAAUGAAUACUUAAUUGUGAUGGAGGCUUAAAGGAGGGUUUAGGGAUAAACCCAGGGUUAGGUUCUGAAUUUAGGGAAAAAUGAAUGCUUGGAAUUUGGAGAUGAUGGAAAUGGUUUAUGGAGGGAAAAGGCAAUGGGGGAUUCGGUUUAGAGCUAGGAUUGAGCUUAGGAUGACGUUGAAUUUGUUCCUUUGAGAUUUGAGAGAAAAUGGGAUGAAUGCUGUUUUGAAAUAAUUCCAGAAAUGCUUCUGUUCCAGUUAUACUGAUGCCGUUAAUCGAUUAACAACAUCUCUUAAUCGAUUAAACCUGAGCUGAAAGUGAUAGUUUUGAAAAUUGACGUGUCAUAGUAAUGGCAUGUAGGGACUCUAUUUGGUUUAUUUGAAUUUCUAAAUUGACGUGUUAGAGGUCUCCUAUAUGGUCUAUUUUUAUGGGAUGGGUGGACAUAUCCUAAUCCUGUAUGGUCACCUACAUUUCUUGUUUUGCUGAGCAAGGUGUCUAGUUGGUUUUUACUAUUUGUGAGUUUUGCGAGUUUUCCAUUCAAUUUAAAAUUUUUGUUUUUCAAGUCCUCGCAAGACUCACAAGUAGUAUUUUCACAUAAGUUAUUAUUUGAGCAAUCACAUUAAGCGCAAGAAAAAAUUAGAUCUAAUGUUUCUCUUUCUAGUUUUAAUUCAUCUAAUUCUUUCUGCAUUUGACUUAUUUUGUGUUGAUUUAGCAAAAUUAUUCUUUUUCUUUCGCUACAUAUCUUUGCUAAUUUUUUAAGUUCUUCAUGCAUCUCAACAUAAGCACUAUAUAAUAUUUCAUAUGAGGGAGAGUGAGAAGAAGAAGAGGAUGUGUCAGAGUAUACCUCAUCUGAAGUAUCCUUGCUGCCUGAUCUGCAAGCCUCAUCUGUAAUGGUCAUUAGGCAUAGCUUCGCAGUCUCCUCUUCAUCUGAGGUGCUUGAUGUUGUUUCUUCCUCUAGUACAUCCCAAACGAUGUAAGCUUUCUUUGAUUUGAAGUCCCGGGGAUUUCCAAAUUUUCGUACUAGGAGGUUUAGCGUUUCCUCGUUAAUGUCUGAAUCGGAGUCUUCAUUAUCUAUCUCUUCAAUGGGUUGUGAUGUUGAAGCUUUGAGAUAGAUUCCCUUCUUUUUGCGAUCGGACUCCUCAUGUAGUGUCAGACGCUCAAGCUCCAUCUCAUGCUCCUGAAGUUUUCCAAAGAGUGUUGCCAAAGGCGUGGAGUCUAGAUCCUUGGACUCCAUCAUUGCUAUUACUUUAGGUUGCCAUCUCCUGUCAAGGCAGCGUAAGACUUUAUUAGUGAGCUCUCCUUUGGUGAACACCUUAUCUAAAGCGAUAAGAUGGUUGAUCAUGUGAGUGAAUCAAUUUUGCAUAUCGCCGAUUGAUUCACUCGGUAGCAUACGAAAUAAUUCGUAUUCGUGAGUUACCACAUUUAACCGGGCGCGCUUGACUUCGCUAGUGCCUUCGUGAGUCACUUGUAAAGGGUCCCAUAUUUCCUUGGCACUUUGACAUUGGGACACCCGAAAGAAUUCAUCGUAUGAUAGAAUCGAUGUAAUGAUGUUCUUGGCGUGAAAGUUGAACUGGACCUUCUUGCGCUCCUCAUCGGUCCAUAGACUUUUUGGCUUUUCUUUCGGUUCGCCAUCCACUAAAAGAAGUGGGGCGAAGGGGCUAGUGAUUACGGAUUCCCAAAUAUCCGAAUCAAUAGCCUCAAUGAAUAUUUUCAUUCGGACUUUCCAUUAGGCGUAACCCUCGCCACUGAAUACGGGAGGGUGGUUAAUGGAUGCACCAUCACCGCCAAAGGGGUUGGUGGAACUCAUUUUAAUUCCCUUCGGAUCACGUGGAUGCGGUUGAGCUAGCACGUUGUACUAGCUCUCAUACCACUUGUUAGGUAUUAGUGCUCUAGGAAUACCUAGAAGGGGGGUUGAAUAGGUGUAGCGAUUAACAAUUACCGCUUCUUGAUCAAAAGUCCAACUGCUGGAAAAACAAUCUAGUUAAUCAAUUAACAGCAGGGUUUAAUCAAUUAAAUAUUGUGCAGAACAGAAUGACUAAACAAGCAAAUUGCAUAGUGAUUAAAACACAAUUGAACAAAUAUAUUUCAGAUAUUUUUAUGCACAAAUAUUAAGUAUAUGGCAGUAAACAAAUAUCCAACUUUUCAAUUACAAAUUCAAUUUAUCAUGGCAAGAAACAUAAGGAAGAUAAAGAGAGAAUGAACAGUGCAAAAGGAUUUUUAUCCUGGUUCGUUUGCGGUCCACUGCAAACUACUUCCUGGCCUCCCCUUCUGGAUCAGGGAGAUUUUAUUUCUUCACAAUAUUGAAUUAAGGAUACAAAUAUUAAUUCAAGUACAAGCACAUAGGACGCUCCCUUCUUGAAAUCUAGGAUCUCUAAAACCUGGUUUGACUCUAGCCUUUCGCCUCUUGAGAAAACCUUUCUCGCGAACUAGCCCCAACCAAGAAUCUUAUCCUCGAAUUAAGACCUCCCUGCCUUGGUGUUGAACUUCAAUCUCUAUGGUGAUCUUACACCAAGAGACAAAUCUAGACUACAAAAAAAAACGUUAAAUAGCAAGGUAUACUAAGCACAGAAAUGCUUAAAAUAUUACAAGAUAAAGACUCAAAGAUUAACUCUUAUUCUAAUCACUUAAGCCAUCAAUAUAAGAGUGAGUUAAUCCAUAUCAGUAUAUAAAUGAUUUCUUUCUAUCAAAAUCUAAUGCAUGAUCAUGUGAGCAAUAUAAGAAUGGAUAUGAAACUUUGCAAACAGAAAGCAUGUUAUAGUAGAAACAACAUAAUUUCGCUUCUCACACAUGCAACUCUCUUGCAGAAAUAUAGUAAAAUACGUAUGCAAAAUGCUCUCUAAACAGCUCUAUACAAUAGAAUGCAAUGCUAUGGGUUUCUGGGUGACGCCUCGAAUUUAAAGCAUGGAGAAUAAGUGGUUUCAUUCGUUGCAAAAACAGUUAAACAGUUAAGCAGUUAUAACAGCAAAAAAAAAAUUUCAGUUACAACACAUAACAAACUAGUUAAUCGAUUAAGACUUCCAUUUAAUCGAUUAACGGGUCAACAAAAUGACACAGAAAUCAAUUAAAACAGAAAACACAUAUUCAACAGAAAAUCAGUUAAGUUAAUCGAUUAAGUUACCAUGUUAAUCGACUAACUAGAACAUUUAUGCAUAUGNNNNNNNNNNNNNNNNNNNNNNNNNNNNNNNNNNNNNNNNNNNNNNNNNNNNNNNNNNNNNNNNNNNNNNNNNNNNNNNNNNNNNNNNNNNNNNNNNNNNUUAUAGUAGAAACAACAUAAUUUCGCUUCUCACACAUGCAACUCUCUUGCAGAAAAAUAGUAAAAUACGUAUGCAAAAUGCUCUCUAAACAACCCUAUACAAUAGAAUGCAAUGCUAUGGGUUUCUGAGUGACGCCUCGAAUUUAAAGCAUGGAGAAUAAGUGGUUUCAUUCGUUGCAAAAACAGUUAAAUAGUUAAGCAGUUACAACAGCAAAAACAAAUUUCAGUUACAACACAUAACAAACUAGUUAAUCGAUUAAGACUUCCAUUUAAUCGAUUAACGGGUCAACAAAAUGACACAGAAAUCAGUUAAAACAGAAAACACAUAUUCAACAGAAAAUCAGUUAAGUUAAUCGAUUAAGUUACCAUGUUAAUCGAUUAACUAGAACAUUUAUGCAUAUGUUUCAAAUGGCAAACUUCUCAUAUGUUAUGCAUAAUAAACAUACAUGCUUUACCAAUUAUAUGAUGCCUAAUAUGCACAUAUAACAUGUAUGAUAGAUGCAUGAACAUACAAUUAACUAGAUGAUGUAUCUCAUGAAUAUGAUAGUUCAAUUAAGAUGGCUUAAGAGAUUAGCAUCUAGGUUUACCUAACCUAUACUCAAUUACUACGGCACACAUCCCAGACUACUUAGAUUAUAGACUCAAUUUAUAUUGUAGUCUAGACAUGACCAAAUGAGCAUAAGGCCUAUUGAUUGUUGAGCCAUCUUCAAGCUUUGUUAAACCCUUGUCUUCAUCAAAACAUAGGCAAAGACAUGCUAGUGCUAUCCUUGACACUUUGCACUUUCACAUGCCACUACGGAAGUACCUAAUAGAUGACAAGUCCCACUAGUGCUCUUUCGAUCCAACUUACACCCAGUAUAGUCAGAAUCAGAGUAACCUACCAAGGAUAAUGAGGCAUCCCUAGGAUAUCGUAAUCUCGUAUUUAUUGUUCCUUUUAAAUAUCUCAUAAUACAUUUAACAACAAUAUAAUGUGAUUCUUUAGGUAUGGCUUGAAAUCUAGCACACAUUCAAACACUAAACAUAAUAUCGGGGCGGCUUGUAGUCAAAUAAAAUAAAGAGCCGAUAAUCCCACGAUAUUUGGUUUCCACAAUAGCUUUUCCUUUUUCGUCUUUAUCAAGAUAGCAUGUGGACGCCAUAGGUGUGGUUGCAUCUUUAUAUUGCUCCAUAUCAAUUUUUUUAGUAAUUCCUUGCAAUAUUUUGAUUGAUGAAGGAAGAUGCCAUUUUCCAUUUGUAUAAUCUGAAGCCCAAGGAAGAAGGUCAGCUCACCCAUCAUCGACAUCUCGAACUCGCCCUGCAUCAACUCAGAAAAUUCCUUACAAAGGAUGUCAUUAGUAGAUCCGAAGAUAAUAUCAUCAACAUAUAUUUGAACAAGUAAAACAUGAUUAUCUUAAAACAUGAUUAUCUUAUCUACGGAUAAAGAGAAUGGUGUCGACCAAACCUCUUUCAAACCCUUUUUCUAAUAGGAACAAACUCAAUCUAUCGUAUCAGGCUCUGGGAGCCUAUUUCAGGCCAUAAAGGGCCUUCUUCAGUUUAUAGACAUGGUUCUGGUAUUUGAUGUUUUCAAACCCUGAUGGUUGGUCUAUAUACACCUCCUCUUGAAUAUAGCCAUUUAAAAAUGUNNNNNNNNNNNNNNNNNNNNNNNNNNNNNNNNNNNNNNNNNNNNNNNNNNNNNNNNNNNNNNNNNNNNNNNNNNNNNNNNNNNNNNNNNNNNNNNNNNNNAAACGUUUUUUGUGCUAGACCUAUGGUUUUGCAUAUUUUACCUACGGUUUCCGUCCAUAAGUAUAUGGUAAAUUUCCUUAUAGUGAUUACUAGUAUAGUCUCUAUCUUUUCUAUUCAGGUAGAGAAGGAGUCGCAAUCAUUAGAAUGACCUAUAUCAUCUCUUGAAUUUGGGAAGGAGCUCUACGAUCUCCUUCUUAUCUUCCUCACCCAAUUAAUUAUAAUUAAACCAACCUAUUAAUCAAGUUUAAACACACAAUGAGGGUAUACGUAGUCUUGAUUUUUAUAUUGCACCUAGUGGGAUAAAAUCUUGUGAGACAUCCUAAUUAAAUAUUUAAUAAAUAAAUUGAGUGUCUAAACUCGUUCAUGUGAUAAGUGAUAGUAUUGUUUAUAUACAGGUGUAAGACGUGCUAAUACUUUCCGCAAUCCAUAAUCGACUCUUGAACUCUAGUUCAAUAACCAUAUUUUUUAAGUUGGGCAUAAAGAGCAUUUUCUAUGUUUUUACCGCAUAAAAUAUAGUUGGGACCCUAAAUCAUUUGGAAGACGGUGGAAUACCUUUCUCGCAUGGAAUUUCAUGCAGCGCUACCUUUGCUUCUUUUAUCAAAACCAUGUCCUCUAGCUAAUCUUGUAUAGUCGUUUUCCCAUAAGGGCUCCAAGACGAAUUUGACACCAAUGUAGUCCUCCAUUAUUGCAUAAUGAGGUGUAUUUCUCCAUCUUUUUUUCUUUAAUAUGUAAUCCAUUUUUAUUAAUAAUUAUUAUUAUAAUAUUCAAUAUAAUGGUUAAAUUGUGUAAAUAUGAAUAAUUUUUAAUAAUAAUAAAUAUCAACAUUUAAAUUAGUAUUAUUAAAUUAUUUCAUAAUAAAUAAAUCUUUAAGUAUUGUAUUUUUUGGACAAUUUUUUAUUCAAUAAGUCCUCAUGAAGUAAACAAUAAAUGGUGAUUUAUAAAUAAUAAUAUGAACCUUUAUGAUUUAUGAUCCCUGGUAAAUUGUAAUGAAUUCGAAUUCGAAUAAAUGAUAAAUCUUUUAGAAUAAAUUAUAUUAAAGAUGUAGGACAUCUCUUUUGUUUGUAAAUAUUAAAAUGGAAUAUUAAAUAAAAUACUUUUAUAUAAUAAUUAAUAAUAUCUAAAAAUAAAAAAGUUUAAAAUCUUUGUAAUAAUUAUAAUUGUAUAUAUUUAUCUAUAAAUAAUGAAUGUGAAAUCAAAUAUGUCUAAAUUGUUAUGUAAAUUAAUUUAAAAAUAUAUAGAAAANNNNNNNNNNNNNNNNNNNNNNNNNNNNNNNNNNNNNNNNNNNNNNNNNNNNNNNNNNNNNNNNNNNNNNNNNNNNNNNNNNNNNNNNNNNNNNNNNNNNUAUUUGUAAUGUAUAGUCUACAUGUCAUAAAUAUCAAAUAUAGUAAGUGAGACAGAGAAAAAAAUACUUUAAGGUUAUAGGAAGAAGAUGUAUAAGAAAAAGGUAGAGGGAAAAUGUAUACAGUAUUUUGGUACACAAUUUACAUAAAUAUGAAGUUAUAAACUAUGAAAGGUAAACUAGGUAAACACAAAUUACAUAUGAGUAGUAGAGACAAACAAAACAUUUAAAAAUAAGUUAAACCAUUAGAUAUGGUAAAUAAAAUAAUUGACAUAAUAAAUAAUUAAUAAUAUUUGAAAAUUACUUAGUUUAAAUUUUUUAAAUAAUAAAAUCGAUAAGAAUGAUACUAAAACAAUUUAUUUAACUAUAAAAAAUGAAUGGCUAAUCACAUCACCAUAAAUCUUAUCUAAAUUAAUUUAAAAAAGUAUAGAAAAUAAUUAUCACGUUAAAUAUGGAGGAAAGAUCUUUAGUAUUCACUUAUUACGUUCAUCUCAUUAUUUGAACAAUCUUGAUAUAUCACUUUAAUUAUUUUAAACAAAUAAAAUAAUCCAACCAAUCAAACUAGUUUCUACCAAGAGCACUGAUCCCAUAUGCUCAAUUAGAUGCAUUUUCCAUAUUCUUCUAUAAUUUGUAAUUUCAAUUUAUAUUAAUAAUUAUUAUUAUUAUAAUAAUAAAUUAUAAAUUUUAAUAAUAUUUAAUUUUUUGAUAUAAUAAAUAAUUAUUAAUAUUUAAAAAAUUACUAUUUUUUAAUUUAUCACAUCAAUGAUGGAGGAAAAGUCAUUAAUAUUCACUUGUUUUCCUCAAUUCAUUCUUUGAAUAGUCUUGAUAUAUCUCUUCUAUUAUUUAAAACAAUUAUAAUAUGCUUAACCAAUAGUCUAGAUUCCCUAUUGCACAAAAUAAAGACCUUCUAUUAUUAUAAGAACAAAAACCAAAGUGCAUUUGACUAAAAUUAGAAUUUAGGUAUAUAAACUUAUCAAAUUAUUUCAUUUCAAAAUUAGGCAUGAAAGGAAAUAAAAAAAAGUACAAUGAAANNNNNNNNNNNNNNNNNNNNNNNNNNNNNNNNNNNNNNNNNNNNNNNNNNNNNNNNNNNNNNNNNNNNNNNNNNNNNNNNNNNNNNNNNNNNNNNNNNNNGCGUAGAACUUAAUUGCUCCAUAGCAAAGAACUUAAUUGUAAUAGACUGCUUAACAAAGAACUUAAUUUUUCUUCGAUAUAUAGCCAACAACCACACUCGUUCCAUAUCAAAAUGAUUGAAUAUUUUAACCUCUAAAUUGUUCCAAAUUACAUAUUCACUAACUUGGAUGCUUUCAGGAUCUUAACUUUGCAAAUAAAAAUGUUCUGUAGAGGGUAAAUAUUAUAAGUUGCCUUCUCAAUCUCUUUUUCCAUACUUUCAAGGAUGAAUUUCUUCACCAACUCUUUCAGAUAAAUGGAUGUGGCUUGGUUGACCAUAAUCUCCCUCAUCUUCCUGCAAAUCUAAGAAUAUAAACAUAUAUUUUGCAUUAUUAGCUACAUAUUAUACCUUCCACCAACUCCACAAAGAGGUAAACUAAAAAAAUAAGAGGGGGAAAUAACAAGUGACAAAAACCCAAUUCAAGAUGGUUACAUUAUGAAAGCAUAUCCAGAAAAUUGAUCAACAAUUUGAAGCAAAACAAUGAGAAUACAACACUAAUUAAGCAGAAAAUUGCUACAUAAUUUGAAGGAAAGAAGUAUGCAAACAACAAAAAUCGCAUUAUAUCAAAUACAUCUAAUUAUACUUUUCUUCUAUACAGCCAACAAAACAAAGAGCAUUAUAUGGUUUCAACUUUUAUAUAUAUAUAUAUAUAUAAAAGUUGAAACCAUAUAUAUAUAGGGAAUCACCUAACUUUAUGUCAACCUAUAGAUUAAGCUAGUCUAGUUGAUCACAAAAUGUAGAUAGAGAAGAAAGCAAGAAAGUUUUAAGAAACUAACAAAAUUCAUAAAAAUGUAUUACCUAAGAAAUCAACCCACCUUACUCUUCCCAUACUCUUAAACUAUUGUUCCUUAACCCCAUUACAACUUCUCCACUCUCCUUAACUCACUAUGCUAUGAUACCUCUACUUGCAAUAGUAAUAUCUCUCUCCCCAUCCGUUUGCACUACUUCCGCACUUACACUCAUACACACACUCCAAUCUACAUCUACACAAUUCAUUUUUCUCCUUUUAAGUCUUGUUCACACCAAAAGUUCUCCUUUAGCAUCUCAUGCCUACUCUCUCCCUCACAAUUCUCAUAUUCUUCUUCAUGAAUUUCCUUACUCACAAAAACUAGUACCAAUUUUCUCUCUUAUUUUAAUAGCCAAAGAAUGUGGAAAAAAUAUAAGAAAAAGUAGUUUGGUGAAGAAAAACGUGGAAAUGAACAAACAUCCGAGAUUCAACAGGACUUGUUCUUCUGGAUAGUGUGGAAUGGUGAUGAAGAGUUGUGGAAUGGUUUUACUAUUGAGGAGAAGCAAGAUUGAUCUUGUUGGCACAAAAUGGAAAGAAGCUGAAGAAGUAGAAGGAUUUGUGAACCUGGUCCUGGCUAGGAUUUGUGAAGUGGGACCGCGUAAAUUAAUUCGUGGUUUGGCUUCAAAAAAACUAAUAAAAUCAUAAGACCAUAGUUUUUUUAUACAUGAUACAACUACAAAUAGAAAAACCAAUGUCAAAGAGAAUGACAAUAGGCCACGGUUAAGAAACUAUGGUUUUAAAGUGAAGUAGACAAUGGUUUUGAGAACAAUUGCAUCAAUAGGAAACAAUUUUGAAACCAUGGUCUUAAAAUACAUUAGGUCACGGUUUUGAGAAGAAUUAUGUCAAUAUUAUCAAAAACCAUGGUCUAGUAGAAUUAAUAGGCAAUAGUUUUGAAACUGUGACCCAUCGUACNNNNNNNNNNNNNNNNNNNNNNNNNNNNNNNNNNNNNNNNNNNNNNNNNNNNNNNNNNNNNNNNNNNNNNNNNNNNNNNNNNNNNNNNNNNNNNNNNNNNCCCGCUCUCAUCCACCUAAAGCACCCCGCUCUACUCCACCUAAAUCAAACACCAUUAACAAAUUCAGACCCCGCUCUCAUCCACCUAUAGCACCUCGCUCUCCUCCACCUAAAACAGACACCAUUAAUAAAUUCAGACCUCGCUCUCGUCCACCUAACGCACCUCGCUCUCCUCCACCUAAAGCAGACACCAUUAACAAGAACCCUCAUCAUUCUUCCCCCCCACCUCACCACAACUAAAAAUGGUAUUUAACAAUCUCC
rnacentral:lncRNA from 1 species